UUUUUUUUUUUUUUUUGAAAAAAAGUACGGGAAAUUUGAAACUUUGAAAAAACCUAGUAACACCUACUAAAGGUGAAAAAGGCUCCCCACUUUGAGAGAGAAAAAAACCCACCUACAAGAGGGACAAGUUAAUUUUUGGUAUUUGAGAUUGAGAAAUUUCAACUUCCUCCCUUGCAAUGUGUUGAGCAAUUUGGUUGAUGGAAUAUUUAUAAUUAGGCUAUAAUUUGUGAAAUGAAGUCUCCGCAAGUGAGAGAGAGAGAGCAUUUAUUGCUUCGCCAAUUUCAAAAGACCAGGCAAAAAGCUAUGGGAUUUCAAACUUUGCUCAAAAAUGCAGAAGUCAACUAUUUGGAAUUUCAUCAAAUUUUGUAGUAUAUUUUGAAUGAAUUUCUUGAUAAUGUAAAUAUUGUAAUUUAAGAUCAUUUAGGAAGAAUGUUUCUAAUGGUCCAAAAUAUCUAAACUAAUUGAAAAUCCAAGUUGGCAUUUCAGAAGGAUUUGGAAAAAAAAAAUUUCUUGGAGGUGAAUCCACCAAAUAUGUUUUCUAGAUUUGUUAUUGUAAAAGAAAACAUUAGAAAAUGCAUCUGCCAUACCAUAAUAAUUAAAUAAUACUCUUAACCAUCAAAAUUGGAAAGCAACUUUAUGGAUUUGAAAAGGAGAUAUUGCCCACUGAUUUAUUGUUGGAACAUAUUGAAUAAAGAGUGAGGAAAUAGUAAUUUCAUGAUCAUUAAUGGUAGGAUGCCAGGGUGGAUCAUUUUUUGAUUUAAGAGUGGAUUUUACAACUUUGGGCUUAUCAAUUAAGUAAGUAAAUGAUGUUGGCUCAAAGGAGUGAAAGAAACCAGGAUAGGUAUGCAGUGGUUUGACCGGUUAAGCUCCUUUUGAGUCAAAAUUGGGAUUGAUCUGAAUAGGUGAUAGAUUUGUCUACAAUAAUAAGAGGAUUUUUUAUUUUUAGGUCUUCAGGUUGGUUGAAGUAGACAUGAGAUUGGAUUUCGGAAUAAAUAUAUGAAUUGUCAGAUUCUCUGGAAACAAUGAAAGAAUAAUCAUCUUGAUUUAAGGAUCAAUUGACUUACUGAUUUAAACUGUCAAAUGAUCUAUUUUUAGAUCUGUAAUGGAGAAUUUGAAAAAUGGUGAGUAAUACUUUGGCUAAUUUGAUCCUAAGCCAGCGGAGGAUAUCUCAAAGAAGGAUGAUACAUAUUUAAGUGGGUUCUUUUUUUUUUUUUUUUUUUUGUCAAAAGUGUGGGUUCUAUUUGAUAUCCCACUUCUUUGACUGGCAUGGCCUCUGCCGCGGCCUCAUGCGGGAUAAGACAUUUCGGUAAAAUUGAGAAAAGGACAAGUAGAAAAAGGGCAAGAAAGAAGGAAAAAAGAAAUAAAAAUAAAUAACAUGGAAGGAGUGCUUUUUCUAAUCAAGCACGCAGACAAAAUGUCUAUUUAUUGAGUUAAUGGGCCAAAGUGCAACUAGGGUUAACAUUAACAUUCGGGGGGUUAAGUGCAUUUAACAGUUUAAUUUUUACCUAACAAGAUUUACAUAUUAAUACAUUCUUAAUUAUGUCUCAUCAUGGAAACUUUUUUUUAUAGAAAAGAAUAUUUCAAUCAAUAAAUCUGCACUAAUGGUAGAAAAUACAUUAAACAAAUAUGACACACACACACACACACACACAUAUAUAUAUAUAUAUGUAGAUCUAAAAUCAAUAGAUACAAUAGUUCUAAGAAAUCAAUACACGUAAAGAAAUAUUGAUGCUCCUACAUAUCUCCCAUCCGGAUGAAUCAUUGUAAUAUAAUACAUUUGUGCAUCUCUUUUGAUAGUCAUAUCUGAUUAAAACUGGGUCAAGUCCAAAGAAAAAUUUAUAUUUGACAAUAAUCGAGAAAUUGCAAAUAUGAGAAACUAGAUUCUAGAUAUACACAAUCUCAAAUUUCCUACAAAAAAAGAUUAAAAAAAAACUCUGACAAGAAAAAUUAAGGAGAGAAUAAAACUUUUACUAAAACAAUCUAAAAGAGAAGAAACUCUCACUGAAAAAUUCUAAGAGAGAAGAGUCUUUCACUACAAAAUUUUAGAAAAUAAUUUAUUCGAAAUAGUGAAACAAAAAGUAGACAGAAUGCUCCCUCCCAUGGGAAAAAACCAGAUUUGAUCUCUCUCCCAUAGGAGAGAUGAAGGAGAUUUUGAGAAAAAGAGUUCUAGAGAGAAGUGUCUCAUCUUGGAAACUUGAGAAACGGUUUUUUGCCAAAUUAAACUACUAAACCUUUUUUCAUUUAAACUACUAAACCUUUUUUCAUUAAUUUCUGUAGUUUUCUUUCCAUAUUGUGUUCUUCUUUAACCAGACAUAUAUAGAAAUCUAGUUCCAAAGGAAAAUUGGUUUUUUUCCUCCUAGUUAUUUACGCACAUUUUUUGUCCAAGGCAUUUGCAGCAUUUGUCAAGGUACCUGCUUUUAACGAGUAUUUUAUAUCUAAUUUAUUUGGUACUUCAAACAAUGAUAUUCAGAUGUUUCUUUCCCUUUUAGACCAACUAUUUUGACUUGUGGAUUUUUGUGCUCUGGGAAAAAAGAUUUUCGCUUACUUUUUUUUUAAUUGCAAAAGAAAAAAUUUAUUUCCCUAUAAAUUCCAAAAAUACUUAUUUAUUCACAUACGAUCAAGUAUGUAUACAAGUAUAUUAAUAGUACUUACUAAAUAAGGUACUCAGUUUUAAUCAUUAAUAAUACAUUUUAGUGUUAUUUCAAAUAACACAAAAAAAUACGGGCUUGGUAUAAGUUAUUUUUAGCAUAAUAGAAUAUUUUUGCCAUAAAUUAGCAUGUUUUUGUCAUUAAUCAAAUUUAAUAUGUUAUAAGUAAAAAUCACUACUUAUGUAUAAAAACAUACUUUUACUUAAAAUAAACUUACUCCCUCAAAAGUAUAUUUGAGAUAUAAAAUUGUAAUUUAUCUCUUUAAAAAGUAUGUUUCAUAUUACUUUCAAUUUACCUUUGCAACAGCAAAAGUUACUAAUUUAUUACGUUAACUUACUAUUUUAGAUGAGAAACUUACUUCCUUAUUUUUACCCAUAAUCCUAUUCAAGCGGAUAGGUCCAACGGGUAAUCAAAUAGUCCCUAAAAUUUUUAUAACCUAUUACAUCAUGUCUAAAACUGUUUUGUUUACCAUAACGAUAGUUAUGGCGCCAUUUUCCCGAAUGCUUAAGCUGAACACCUGGGUACUAAAUUUAUAUAUGUAUAUAAAUAUAAUGAAGCCUUCAAUCCCUUUGUGUUUCGCAUUGCCACGGAACUACUACGUUUACCUCUACUCCACUUUUCCUUUUUUCUUCCAAGUUAUUAUCCCCCACACGUGUGAGAUUUACAUUUAUUAUUUGUUAAAACUUCGGUACCUUCUUUAUGCACAUUUUUUUGUCGCAGGCAUUUGCAGCAUUUUUCCAUUGCUAACGGGUAGAUUUGCAAAUGCAUAAAUGCCAAUUACCCUUCCCUGGCCCAAUCUACUACAUUGGAAAACGGAAGUUCGAACGUGUGCUUUUUUGCUUGUAGCCGCAGACAAAAAAUUAAUGUUUGCUCUCCACGCGAUCUUCCACAGCUUAACGUCUCCGUUUGCACUCCAUUCAACUCCAACACGUGUCGAUUUUUGUAGGCCUUCCUACCAUAGACACGGUCAAAGCGUUCCUACCAUAAAGGUUUCCGUUGGCAAGCCCUAUGGAAGGGGUCAAGAUAUCACAUUUAUCUCAUUAAUUUUGUUAAUAGUAUUAGUGAUUGGGGCAUACAAGUCAAUGAUACUGUGCUAAAAGUGAUAAAAAAAUAAAAGUCAAGAGAUUACAGUUAAAACAAAAUGAUAUAUUGUCAUUAAUCUACACUGUCCUUUAUCUCAUUAAUUUUGCUAAUAUUGUUAUUAAUUGGGCUUAAAUAAAAUAAACUUGAGAGUUUAAGUCGCAAAGUAUCUAAAAUUGUGAAUUUAGAACGUAAAGGGUUGAAAAUUAAAAUUUAGGGCAUAAAGUAAAGAAAUGGCAAUAGUCCUUACACAAGCUUCGCGCCUAAUCCACUCCCCCAAUUUCAGCUUGGAUUUCAUCAACACCUAGUGAUCCAAGUAAAAGAUAAAUCCUAAAUGCAUGAAAAUGAACAUUUUAAUAGAAACUUACAUUUCCCAGCCUUAAAAGUUCACCUUCUUCAGGAGCAUGUGCAACUGAUAGCGUCUUGGUGGAGAUUAUAGAUGCCUUCUCAUUGAUUGUUAGCAUAUCAACAACUUAAUAUGUAGGAAUGAAUCCACUCAAAUAACUAAGAAACGAAGCCAAUCUCAGACAAGAUAAAUAUUGGCAGUUGAAAUCAUACUAACAAAGCGACGUAGCACAAACUUGAAAGAAACAGCACAAGGCUUUGGGAGGCAACAAUCAAAAUUUUUUUUUUUUUAAUUUCAUAGAGCUUUUAAUCUCAUACAUCUGAUGUAGUCCUACACAUAUUUAUUUCGAUUAGGGUUCUCUGCUGUCACAAUGUUGAUAGCAGAGUGCUUUUCAUGGCAGAGAUGAUGUAUUUUCAAAUUGGGUGGUGGAGAUUAAAUGGGGGCUCCAAUUUUGACCUGUUAAAAAAUUUUAUUGUAUAUUUUCAUCAUGUUAUGUUAGUAAUUUUUUUUUGUUUCCGAAGAAACAGAAGUAAAUUUCAUUUAAGAUAAAUCCGCAAGUGCGGCUACAGGUACUUCAUCAGGGAAGUUUACAAACCAGACGUUACAGCCUUCCAGAGAUAAUGACAAUUUAGAUAUUAUAUGGGCAGGUACAUUGUUAAGUCUCCUCACAUGAGAAACUUUUACAGAAGCAAAUUCAUCUAACAUUGAUCUAAUACCGUGAAUGAUGUUACCAAUUAAGGACAUGCCAGUUUCCUUCUUGUGUUUGUAUAUAUAAUUGUUUUAUUAGUAUCCACAUUCCGUAAGUUAGUGUUUGCACUGCAUUCUUCUGUUAUCACCAAUGUUUUUAAACUCGGACCGGUCAGCGAACCGGAGAAAGGACCGGUUCACGGUUCGACCGGUCCGACCGGUCUGACCGGCCGGUUCACCGGUUCACUGCUUUUUAAAAUAAAUAAAUAAAUAAAACGCAUGCACCUUCAGUUAUUAAGGUUUGUACGUGAACUGGAAUUGAUGUUAUCAUUCGCUGGCCGGUCAUUUCCAUGAGGGGCCUUGUAUUGUACAAGCCUUACAACUUAAGUUCCCAAAAUGCAAUCACCUUUUAACUUGAAGUCUAAAAAGUAAAAACAUGGGCAACCCAACACAAUAUUCUGACUUAACCAUGUGCAAAUGCUCCAACAAACGAAGCUCAAAGAACCACUUAUAUAAUGGAAAAAUCUAAGUGAUACUUCUUGCCAGAAGGAAAAUUUUAAUGAACAAUAAUGCAAAAAUGACAAGGGCAAGACUCAAAUAUAGUGACAAUAUAUAUCACUUGACUAUAGCAUUAAAAUCACUUCACGAGGUUCUUUCAAGCCAAAAACCAAACAGAUGGCGUACAUUAUCAAAUUGCAUAUUUAACAACCCCAAAAUGCUAGAAAAACAUAAAUAUAAGCCACAAAUUCGAACCUGUAUUUUAGUAUAUCUGUAAAUAUUUCAGUAUUUCAAGCUUAUAUUUCCUAUUAUCUUUAUCUAUAAACACAAAUAGACAAAAAGGACGAAUUCAUGUAAAAAUAAAAUAAAAUAAAAUAAAAAAGAGAAACCAAAUUACUAGAUUAGUGCUUCUUUGGAUUUCCCUCAAAAUUUACCUGUGAAUCGCAACUCAGCAACUGAGCCGAAGAAAUCAUGCAAAAAUAGUUGAAGAUGGUUAUUGCCGCCGACACCAAUAUGUUAAAAGGAAAAGAGGAUAAAGGAAACAGAACAGAGGAGAAGCCGCGGCCGAGGAAAUGAAGUGAAACAAAGAAAUGAGUCUGACGUAUCAUAGGGUAUUUUUAAUCUUUCACUUAAUAAGUUAACUAGUUAAAUAGAUCUCUUUAGAACAUAUGUUUGUCCGCUGUCUGUGGUUCAACGGUAAGGAAUGCUUGUUGCAAGCCCAAGGUCUAGUGUUCCAUUCCUAGUGACUGCAAUCUUAACACUAUUUUUACAAUGUUUAAAAAACCGCCGGUUCACGGUUCAAGCGGUUUUUUCCGGUUCGUCCGGAUCAUCCAGUUUUUGACGGUUUUCAUUAAUUUCCGGCUUUAUCUUUAGACCGGACCGAUGAUCUGGCCGGUUCGCGGUCCAAUCGGUUGAACCGGCCAGUCCGGUCCGAUUUUGAAAACAUUGGUUAUCACUAGCUGUAAUAGCAGGAUACUGAUCCUAUUUAUUGAUAGCCUAAGUUAGUCAAAAGUCAAAAUCGACUAAUUAGUCUAGAUCACUUUAGUCACAAGCUAAACUAUACAAUUGUUUGGCCAGCGGAUUAUUUGUAUAAAUUUAUUUAUUUAUAUCAUAAACAUAUAUUUUUAAUUAUUUUUUAAUCUUAUAUACAUCAGAUAAAAAAAAAGUACGAUAGUAUUUCUUUUUUAAAAAAUUAUUCGAAAUAAUCUUAUAUUAACUGAUUCACAAACUCAUCAAUCAAAUAUACAUGAAUUAUAUGCUAGCUAAGCUUUAGACCAAGUAUGAAGGCUAAUUACUUAGAUUAUUGCUGAGGAAAAGAAAGUUCGGUCAUCUGCGGCUCUGACAGCGGGCUAUUGCAUACUUAUGGGUGCCGGAGCGUGUCAGCCCGGCACCCAAAAGCAAAGUCAAAUUUUUUUUGGUCUGACAUGACAUAGCCCGGCAGCAGAAAUUUUUUUUUUUUUUUUAAGUUGUCAGCUACCUGGCUAACAAGGCCCGGUAGCCGACAUCCUCUGAUCCACAAAGCUGGCUGCCGGGCAGACACUGUCCGGCAGCCAGUGCAAUUUAUAAAAAAAAAAAUUCCUGAAGCGCUAAAGAAGUAUGCAUUUCUGAAAUGAACCAUCCGCGGAAUUAAAGGGGAGGUAAGAAUUAAACAUAGUAGGCUACAUUUCUAUGGUGGAAGGUUCAGUUUUCUGCGCACAAUAAAUAGAAGCAAUGCAAAUGUGGAGACACACAAAGAAGUAUAUUGGGCACUCAAAAAAGCGAGUUAUGCAUGGAUGCAAAAUAUUAUAUAUUUUAAAAUUAUAAUAAAAGCCCUCUUAAAAAUUUAUUCAUUAACUAAUGUUCAAUACUUAUAUUUGGUAAAUUAAAAUAGUUAAUUAAAUAUUCUAUUAUAAUAUAAGUAACUAUAUAUCAUUAAAUCGAAUGAAUAAUAUGUAAGCAGUUUUUUUUUUUUUUGCCAUUUCAAGUAGUUGUCUAUUAAGUUUCAAUUAAAAUAAAGAUUUUAUAAUUAUUUGAAAUUAUGCAAUAAAAAAAUCAAUGUAAGAUGAACAUAAAUAUAAAUACCCCAAAUUGUAUGAUUGAAAUAUUUGAUUUAAUAUGCAGGAAAGACAAGAAGAAAUGGCAAGAAGUUUUUUAAAAAUUAAUGUGAGUUCUUUAUAUUGGUAAUCACCUUUAUUUGUUAUUUUAAUCAUAAUACCUGAUUAUAACCGAUUAAAACUCAUCCUAAUACUAUUUACAACUAAAGUUACUAUAUACUCAAAUUAAAAUUUUCUUUUUCACUAAAUUUUCUUUUGUAUAUGAUGCAUGUUUUAUCAUUUGUUAAUAAUUAAUAUAACAAAAAGAUGUUAUUAGGCUAAAUGUCUCGACAAUGUGGAUUACUUUUAAAGAUUUUAAUGAGAAUUAGACAACACUUUUUAUGUAUUAAAUUUAAUUCACAUUCUAUUUCAUUUGAAAUAUAAUUAUGUAAAACAUACGGGACCAAAAAAAUACGAAGAUAAACCUGUGACUAAUUCUAACUUGAUUUGAGCGUUAUGUAUUAUAGUUUUGUAUUAGUUGUCCUAAAUUUGGCUAAAAUAAAAAAUUUGCUAUUAUGCUUAAUUCUUACCUCCCCUUUAAUUCCGUGGAUGGUUCAUUUCAGAAAUGCAUACUUCUUUAGCGCUUCAGGAAUUUUUUUUUUAUUUUUAUAAAUUGCACUGGCUGCCGGGCAGUGUCAGCCCGGCAGCCAGCUUUGUGGAUUAGAGGGUGUCGGCUACCGGGCCUUGUCAGCCUGGUAGCCGACAACUUAAAAAAAAAAAAAAUUCUGCUGCCGAGCUGUGUCAUGUCAGACCAAAAAAAAUUUGGCUUUGCUUUUGGGUGCCGGGCCGUGUCAGCCCGGCACCCAUAAGUAUGCAAUAGCCCACUGUCAGAGCCUCAGAUGACCGAACUUUCUUUUCCUCAGCAAUAAUCUAAGUAAUUAGCCAAGUAUGAACGACACUUAGUUAAGUAAUUAAUAAUGAUAACUUGGUUUACUAUUUCUACAUUUUGUAGAGCUCUUUAAUAUAAUAUUAAAAAAUUAUUCCCUGUUUAUUGAUUAAAGGGAUAAUUUCAGAAACCUCAGGGAGGUGGCAGCCUCACUCACCUCCCCUGAACUUUGCAAAAUAUUAUAUACCUCCCUUGUCAGGUUAUUGGGUCCUAUUUGUGAUAUCAUUGAUGAUGAAUUGACAGAUAUACCCUCAUAACUUAUGAUAUAUUUUGAAGCUAUUUUGACAGAAUUAGUUAAAUGAGUAAUGUAGAUAUAACUUUUGAUAUAACUUAUGAUAUACCUCCUACUCCACUUAACACUUUUUAUCCGUAGUACAAUCACCAAUGGGGAGUUUAGCACUAGUGUUACCUUUCUCUAGAGCCAUGUAUUUCAUGUUUUUUUUUUGUAAGAUAAUUAUCUAGUGUAACUCAUUACUUAUAUUUGGGUAGAUUUGGUUUUCAAAAAUUCAAUGACGUAAAUUGUAUAUUACAUCAUCUCAUAAAGUGAUGCGACACAAUUUGGGCUAUUGGAUUUUUUGAAAAUCGGAUCUACCUAAGUUCUGGCAUUUAAACGAAGCUUGUUGAAUAAAUUCGACUAACUCCAGUGUGAAUUAAAAUUUUUUUAAAAAAAUAAUCUCAACUAAAGUAUCUAGCACUAAAUGAAAUGAAGUAUCUUGCCACUUCAUUUCAUUUUCCACAGAGAAAAUUGUAAAAAGAGUUAUUGAACUAUUCAAAAUUUGGUGAUUCGAUCGUUAAAAUAUUUAUGUAACUGCAAUGGCCAUUCACUCAAUUAACCAAAUAGUGCAAAUUUUUUUGUGACUUAACUAAUAAAAAUUUAUACUUUUAAUCACUCAAAUAAUAAUUUUUUUGUGACUUAACUAAUAAAAAUUUAUACUUUUAAUCACUUAAAUAAUGAAACUAUACAUUUUUUUUAAUAUCACGAGAAGUAUGUUUCAAUUAAUUGAAUGAUCAUAUUAGCUAAAUAAAUGUCUAGCAGCUAAAACAGAAAAAUAUAAAUAGCAUAGUAACAUUGCUUGAAGAAGCCAUCUGCAUUUGUCUUUGCCUGGUUCUAGGGCUGCAAACGAGUCGAGUCGAGUCGAGAUUUGACCUAAUCGAGCCGAGUUUUGACUUAAUUUCAUUAAAAUCGAACUCGAGCUCGAGCUCGACGAGCUGACAAUUUCAAACUCAAGCUCGAGCUCGACUUGAUUCGAGCCGAGCUCGAGCUCGAAAAAAAUAAAAAAUAAUUAUUUUUAUAUUUAAAAAAAUAAAUAAAACAAUAUUUGUUUCUUAAUAAAUAAUAAAAUAUUAAGGAUGUAUAUGUAAUUUUACUAUUAAAAUUAAAAAAUAUAAAAUAUAUAUAUACUUAAAAUAAAAAAAUAAAAAAAAAUAGAUAUAUACUUAAAAUAAAAAAAUAUAUAUAUAUACUCGAGCUUGCGAGCCAACUCGCGAGCUAACGAGCUUUAUAUUUUGAGCUCGAGUUCGAGUUCGAUUUCGACUCAAUCCAGUUUGAACUCGGCUCGAGCCGCUCACUAGCAGCUCGAUUCGUUUACAGCCCUACCUGGUUCAACUUAUUACUUCUUUUUUGGCUUUUGCUUUAGCUCAGCAACUACCCAACAAAAUGCAUUGUCAUCUAUGCAGCUUCAUUUUGCUGUUAUAUAGACAAGCAGGAAGACUACUAUUUGCUCUUUAUCGUUGGUUUAGCUGUGCACAAAGAGCUAUUGGCUUCUACCUUCCAAAAUGCAAUAGGCACCUUGCCUUUUCCAUCAAUUUCAGAUACACUCCCUAAAAUUUCAUUGUUGUUAGAUAGUUUGUGCUGUUCAACAAAAAUUAAGUCACUAAUGAUAAUCUUGAGAGUAGAUGUGGGAUGAAGUGUUUUUCUCUCUCCAGAUACAUAUUUAAAAUUGUUUGUGCAUUUGAAUUGUGUGAGAUUUGAUAUACUCUACUUAAUUUUAGGAGAGAUAGCUGAUAUUUUGCAAAGCUCGAGGGAGGUGAGUGAGACUGUCAGAAACCUCAGAAGAGGUUUCUGAAAUUAUCCCUUGAUUGUUAAACUUACAAGUGCAUCCUUUUCUUUUUUUUCCCAUAAACAAAAGCUCAGGUCGAACAAUUAAAACUAAAAGUAGAGAGACUAAAUUGGUUUCAGCGAAAAACUAUGAGGACUAAUUGGGCUAUUUCCCUUAUCAUUUUUUUUUUUGAGGGAAUUCCUUAUCAAAUUUCAGUUGAGGCGUGUAAACUGACAAAAUCCUAAUUUCAGGGCCUUCUCUUAUCUUCAGCCAAAAAUAAAACAGAUGGCAAAGUCCAAAAUUGCUUCCAUUAGCAGCCGCUUGCUCCCCAGUUCCCAUAUGAUCCUUAAUUGAUCUCCAAACCAAUAAACUAUUAUGGUUUCUGUACCACAACCACCAUGUUUUCCUCCACUCAAAUCGAUCCGUAUUAGUGCCUCUCCUGCUCAAAAUUUGCAAUACAAAAGCAUAAUUUUAGCAUUACCAUCCAAGAACCUUAAAGUUUCAUCCUCUAUAGGUCCUUCCAAUGCAGAACCAUUGUCACCAAAUUCAUCAGAAAAGCCCUUAGAAACUGACCAGUCUGAGGGUGAGACUGACCCUGUGAAACUUGCAUUUGCUAAGGCUAAGGCAUAUAAGAAAGCAAAACAAUCUAACCCUACUCCAGAAAUUGUUCAGAGUCCUAUUCAAGAAUCUGCUGGAAGAAGUGAAAAGAGUGAGGAAUUGAAGCUCGAACUGCCAAAGUUGGAAGCUUUGAAGCCAGAAGAUAAGGGCAAUGGGAAGGAGGAGGUUCCAUUGCCUCUUAAAUUGGCAUUUGAGAAAGCAAAAGAGUAUCGGAAGAAUAGAAGUGCUGUGGAGGAAAGUCGAGUUGUGAAGGGGAGUGAGCAAAAUUCAGGUAUGGUUACUGGGAUUUUUGUGUUUGUUUGUUGAGCUGUUGUGAAUUCGUGUUUCAGAUAAUUCUUCAGUGGUUCUCUAAUAUGUAGUUUUAUGAAUUUUCUCUUUUAUUACAUAUGUUUAUCAUGUGAUUAUCAUUAUAUUAAACUUGUUUCUUGAUGAAAAUAGCAUGUUAGUACUUAUGCAGUAUUUCUAUUAAAGCAUUGUAAUUGUUUGUAAAUAUGUGGAUUUGUGUCUUGAUCAGGAAAAUACCCAAUUUGUCGAUUAAUUUUAAGAUAAAAGAACUUUUUUUUCCCUAAUUUGAGUGUUGUAUGUUAUUGUGAAUACCUCCAGGCGUCUUUUUGCUUGGAACUUGUAGUAAAACAGUUUGAAGUGGUUCUGGACUAAGAAGUUUUCGUUUGAAUUGGACCUUAGGAAUUAAGAUAGGAAAUGAGGGAAGUCUUGGUGGUUCAGUAUUGAGAAAGGAUGAUGAUAAGAAGGAAGAGUUGAAGAUUUCGAGUAUUGAUUUUGUGGGGCUUGACUUCUCGGAGAAGAAGAGCACCAGGGCUUUGCCAGCUGGGCUGGUUCCAGCUGUGGACGCAUUUCCUGAGGAGGACUUGCCUGAGGUGGAGAUACUUAUUGGAGAUGCUAGCAAGUUUGAAGCUGGAGCAGCAGCACCACAGCCAAUUCAGGAAGAGGAUGUGGAUGUUUAUAAACCCAAGGUAUCCACUUGGGGAGUUUUUCCUAGACCGAGCAAUAUCUCAAAAACUGUAAGCUCCCUGACCUAUUUGAUUAUCUAUUAGAAUGCUCAUUAUGAUUAAAUCCUCAUAAAAAGUAGAUUCUUGAGAUAAGACCAAGUUCUGAAUAUGAAUUUGGUGCAAUUUCUGAACAUAGUUUAGGAAAACUAAUGUCAAGGCAUGUUCUAACAUAAACUGAAUAAUUAACCCCCCCCCCCUUUUCCCAGGCCUCCAGGACUUUAGUGUAUACUUAAAAAAAGAAUGAGAUGUAUGUUUUCAAGCAGAGUGAUGGACCGUACUUUUGUAUCUAUCCAUAGUCAUUGAAUAAAAGCUCGGCUUUUUUGCUUUCUUUACUGAUUAAUAUUACCACAGGUCAAAAUGGAAAACCAUCAAGCAUCUGACUCCCUGGCUGCUCUUGCUGUGAAUGAUAGUUACUACAUCUUUUCCGCAAUAAAAAACAAAAGUUAACAUGCAUUAUAUUGGGUUUCUUGAUUUCUAAUUUUUCCUAAUUAUUACCCCAAGCUAUACACAAGGACAUGAGAAAUUUUGGAAAAAGCAUCAUAAUUGUCCUUGUCAUUUUGAAGUUCGCUGUUGUCCAAUGUUACUAUGGUAAUUUUUAUCUUGAUCCUCUCCCCUUUAUUUUUUUUUGAAACUGUAAGACUUUGCCAAAACAUAUUGUUAAAAAAUAUAUAGAGGUCUGCAAUAUAAUUCUUCUCUAUUGUUUCACUGGUGAAGAAACAUUACCCCAUUUACAAUCCUUUGAGUGGCAUGGUUAGAUGUGCUUGUGAGUUUUUAUAGUUGCCAAUGUUCUUCAUUUUUAAUCCUUUUCCAUGAUGAUUCUUUCUUGCUUAAAAACUAUCUUAACAUAGACUUUAGAUGUUGGUAGUACAUGGUGAUUUUGAUUGGUGAAGUGUCCCUACACUAUUGCUAGGUCUUUUUAGUGACAUGGUACAAAUUUGUAAUAAGAAUGGUAAAAAGGGUUGUUCCUCUAGAAAUUCCAUUCACUUUUAAGUUUUUAAAAAAUAAAUUAUUGGGUUUCCUUGCUUUUGAUGAGUCUCCUGGACUGUUUAAGUCAUUUUACUUGUCUUCUAUAAGGUUUCUGGUUGAUCCCUCGUCCUUCUUAAGCUAAAAGCAUUUUGUGAGACAUUCAAAACUGAGCUUCACUUUGUAUUGAUCAGGUCUCUAGUAGGUACAGUUUUCACUCAUCUAUUAAUACAAUUGAUGUUUCACCACUGCAAUUAUCAAACUAUGAGCUUACAUGAUUGGAUUCUCUCUGGAACUUUGGUUAUGCCUUUACUUACUCACUUGACUUCAGUAUGGUGGUGGAAGAAAUAUACGCCCUGGGGAAGUACUUGAAACAGAUGCUGAUCGAGCUACUAAAGAAGCACGGACAAAACAGCUACUUGCUGCCUAUGAGAGCAAAAUUGGAUUGAGCAUUCAUCCGAAGCUGAAAUCUGAAUGUGAACAGGUAUGUUUCAAGUGCACGGUAUCUUGAUUGACAGAGUUAUGAAAUAAUCUUUUGCUAUUUCCACUUCUAUUAGGCUCUGCAACCUAGGUAUAUUAAGUGUCAAGAUAUUAUUCUACGAGUGAGGUUGGUAAUUUCUUCAGUAAUUUAUAAAAAAUUUUAGCUGCAACUGUUAGUCUCAUAGUGUUUUUGAUGUAUUAGCAAUACUCUUGGAAACUUUUUCUUCCUAUUUGUUGUUGUUUCAAUUACAAUACUGUCAAUAAUCUACCUAGAAUGAUUUGCAAUAAAUAGUUCAUUGUGUGGUGACAGUUUAGCUCCAUGCUUCAUAUUACAUAGUAAACUAGUACAAAAAGGAUAAAGCUCAUACACCUUGUCUGUGUUCCGGUUAGUAUGGUACAAAUUUCCAUGUAUUUUGUGCUGUAUUUGUUUAAGGGCUAUGCCCAUUCACUUGUGUAAUCCCAUUCGCUUGUGUAAUCUUCUCUCUUUUGGUCAAUGAAAGGCACGAAGCUUCCGGAAAAUGGAUGUGCCGAAUACCGAUACUCCUUGUGCAAAUUUACCCCAGUUGGUGCAUUAGAUAAUUGGAAACGAAAAUGGUGUUUGAAACUUGUGAAUAUAUUUCACCUUUUUCUUUCUCUCUUAUUUGGGAAUGUGUGAGAAGGAUACAUUGUGGGAUUUUAGCUGAAAUGAACCUUAUUACCUCCAAGUCUCAGCUUGAUUUUCUUUUCUUUUCUUUUUUUUUUUAUUUAAAUUUUCUCUAAAGUAUUGUAUAUCUCAGAAUGGAAAAGAAAAGCAAAUGAAUUGUUCCUCAGGAUUGAUUUCUGGAGUGAUCAUGCAUUAUACUUCUAUUUUUCUUUUCCUACAUCUUGCUCUAAAUUCCCCAGUCAGAUUUGUGAUUGAGAGCUUUCUUCUUAAUUAUAGUGCUCUCAUACUAGGCACUGAAGGAAGGGGAUUCAUUGAUGGAUCUUGGGAAGCUCAAAGAAGCAUUACCUUUUUAUGAGCAGAUCAUGGGCAAGUUGGCUUUCCAGGUAUCUUUCAUUUGCCAAUAAUAUCUAAAAUAGUAGUAAAACUGCUGAAGGCCUUGGUCUGAAGCUCACCAUGGUCUUUCAAUUACGAUUAUGCAUGCAAAAAGUAUGAAGUGCUAUUUUGCACAGUAUCAUUUUCCUAACUAGCUUUUUUUUUCCUUUUUAUUUUUUCCCUUCUUCUUUUGAUAUGGUUAGAUAGAUCAGUUUUCUUUGGUAAGAAUUUGUUCAGUAACAGCAGUGCAAGUUAUAUGAAUAUAUAUCUUUUAAACCUUUGUCCUUCAGUGUUCUCUUUGUUUCAAAAGAUUUCUCUAGGAUGACUUUCCUUUUUGUUUUUUAACCCCUUACUUGUGUAUAACAAAUUCUAUUUGCAAUUUGAGUUCAAAAUUCUGUUUUGUUAGUUUUUCUGCUUAAUUUUUCUGGUCUGUUUGUAUAGAAGUUGACUUGAGUCAUAUGGUCUGUUUCUAUAGAAGGGCACCAACAAUGAAUAAAGAGAAGGGGGUGCAUUCUAGUUUUAAUAUAAAUAAGACAGAAGAGAUUUAACCUCUUAAAAAACCUUCUUAUCUGAGAUGUACCAACUAAUUAACUUUGUGAUUACAACUGAAAGCCUGUACUGAUAGCAGUAGAGCUCGCUACAAACCAUGAAAAACAACUGUAACUAAUCUAUUCAAGUGAUUUUGCAUGAUAUGAAGAAAGGAAAUGAUUUCGACAUGAGGAAAUUUCGAUGGGAAUUUCACUAAACAGUAUUAGCAUUUAUGAUGAAGUGCUUAAUAGGUUUAUGUUUAUGUUUUCUUUAAGCAUCGCCAUUCAAGUUUGUGGGGCCUGGCUUUUCCAUCUACACAUUUCUGUGAUCUUCUUUAAUUUAUGUGUCCUUUAUGACAUUGGCAUACUCUCUCCUAUCCAUAGCAUGCUAUGGACACUGGGCUAUACCAAGCCUUUUACAAGGAGAUUUGACCCUCUAAUUAUGCUUGCACAUUUCCUCAACAUCAACCUAAUAUAAUCCUAGGUACCAUGGAUACUGUCCUCAGAGUGAGACAUAAUGUGGAAGAAAUUAGCUUUAUGUCAUUGAAGUCUUCCUAGGCCACACCCUCCCCCACCUUCCAAAAAAAAAAAUCAUGAAUUUUGUAGUCUAACCAAGAGCCACAUUGAUUAAAUUAUGUGCUGAUGUAAGAAAGUGAUUUAAUGAGACUUAGAUGGCUUUUUUAGAGCACAAAGGACCAGGUCCAUAGAAGAAUUUCCUUAUGUUACCUUCCUAGUGAUUCAAAACAUAGAAUUUACCCCUUGUCAUUUUGGAGUGCAGUUAAGCAGUUUGAUUUUAUGUUCAUUUUACCUGUCAACACAGAAAAGUCAAACUUCUUUCCAAUAAAACAAUUGAAAUGAUUAUCAUACCCUUUUGUUUCCUUUCCUAUGAAUUUUAAGCUGAACUAUUGGCUCUCUUCUUCUUCCUCCUCAACAAAACCCUAGAUUAACAUUAAGAGUAGCAGCCAUGGUUGCCAGUGCCACCCGUCAUUUCCAGCAGGUGGAAGCAAUAGCCGGCUACUGACUGAUACCUUCACUGUCACUUUUAUCCAUCCCAAACUCAAUUUUCUUUCCCAUAGGAAUGCUGUUUUCGCAUUGUAAACACCAGAAUCCAACCAGAAAAAGCUUAAAAUUGCUGCAAAAUUGACAGCUUCAGAAAUUCAACUCAAUAAUGAACUGCAAAUCCAUUAAUAAUUGUCUAAAAUACUUGGGGAAAAAAAACUAGAAAUAAAUCCAUGGAGAAACGAAUAUGAUAACAACCCAACUGGACGAAUAAUGAUUUGAAGAUCUGAAAGAUAAUUUAAAUAGAUGUAUGCAGUUAGGGCACAUAUUCAACUAAGGCAUCUGAAGACAAUCACUGAUGAUCUCUGGUAGAUUUAGUCUGUUUUUGGGUUUGAAAUUGAUAAUUUACUCGAAAAUCUGGAUUGUGGUUAUAUGAUUUGCUGGAAACGGGGAAAAAAAACACUGAUAAGGGUAUGGCCAGCAGCAGUUUCCUGUCAGUUGACCGCCAAUAGGCAAGAGGGUGUACAGGCUGGUAGCUUAGAGUUUUACAACAUAGAAAAGAGAAGAAACAAGAUAAACAAAACAAAAAAGAAAGAUGAAAAGGAAGAAAGAACAGAGAAACAAAAUACAAAAUGUUUGGAGAAAAAGGCUAGUUUUUUUGUUUUGGCUCCAAAAUUUUGUCAUAACUUAUUUUCUGUCAAAAAAAAGAGCUAUUCUGUUUGGUUUGGUUUAAAACAAAAAUCAUCCAUACUCUUAAAUUAUGACUGUAAUCCUUGAGUCAAAAUUUUAAAACUUUUGGACAAUGACUAAAACAGAAAAUUUACUUUUUUUCACUUUACUUUGAAACCAUAGCGAUGUAAAUUCUAGUUGUUGAAUCCAUAAUUAGGUAAGCUAAAUGAUUGCCAUACCACAGGGGAGGGGGGUUUUGUGUACUUUACGCAUUAUCUGAUGAGCUGUUCAUGUUUGGUUGAAGUCCUAAAGCUGAUUGGGUAAAAUGUAAACAAGAUUGGAAAGUAGUCUUGGAUAUUAUUCACAACACUGUAAAACAGAUUUAGUUAUUAUUAGAUUUAGGUCACUGUUCUAUGAACAUUUAGUGAUGAUUCUUUUGCCCAAAUUUAUUUUCAGACUGAACUUUAUGGAUUAGCAGCUUUGCAGUGGUCUAUUUGCCAAGAUUCACUCAAUAGGUAUAUGUCUAACCAUUAUCAUGUUUUAUAAGCCUUCAUUGGAAUACACUAUCCUGGAGCAUUUGUAUCUUUUUCAAGAACAAUUGUGGAUAUGAUAUACAAUUCAAGAUGGGAUGAAUGCAAUGGUUUUUUUUUUUUUGGUGAACCAUGGAAGUCAGUUGAAAAAUUUUGGCUUGAUGUAUAUGACGUGUGCUUUUCAAAGAUUUAUGACUAAAAUUAUCAGUAAUAUAAAUUGACUCAUGAGUACUGUGAUUGAUAAGUAAAACCCACAUAGAGACGUAGAAGUUUACCUAGUUCUUGGACUCAGGAAAUCAGAAACCUUAUUUUCUAUUAUUUUUUCAAAUUAAAAGCAUCUUAUUUUGUUGUUUCCAGAUAAUUGAACAAAUACAAAGGACAGCCUCUUGCCAGGGUAAUAAGGGCUAAAUGUAGAUGAACAUAAUGUUCAUGGAUUGAUUUGGCUUCAUGAACAUUAGUUUGAGCUCCAAUUUGAAAGAGCAUGAAACAAAAGAGCUAACAUUAGCUUCCUAGGAACUGUUUCUUUGGGUGCCAGCAUUCAUAUCUGUAGAACAAAUGAAGCAUGUGAAAGAAAUCCAGAAGAUGGUUAUAUUUGUUGGAGGAGGUGACGUUGAGAUACAAAUUCACUAGGUAGUGCUUCAUUCGAAAAGAAGGUUAUGUUAAUCGUGGAGUUGUUUAUAACUAGAUCCAGUAAAAGCAUAUGUAGUUAUUCUGGGUAACACUAGUAUAUAGCAUAACUGAUACUUACAUUGCAUGAGAGUCAGCAUGUAACUACUAUCAAGUGAUCUUUGACUCUUUGUUUUUCACCUUGCAGCAAGUUUAUUUGAGGAUUCUUUUUCUGUAUUGUCCCAUACUGCUUAUUAUAUCAUAAAUGUCCUUAUAUACAUAUUACAGCUGAUUUUUGUGUCAGGUAAUAACUCAUCUAUCUUUUAUAGCGCGUGUGGUGAAAUAUCUCUUGCAUCUAGUUUAAGUGUUCCCUGGCAUCAAUUUGUGUUUGUGGGCCCCUUUAACUUGGGUAUUCUGAUGUCAUAGUGUAGAAAUUCAACAGAUUUACUCAUUGCCAGCAAAUUAUAUAUCAUAGAAAGACUUUCUAUCUUUUCAAAUUUUUCGUUCAUAAGAAAGCUUCUCUCUUUUCUUUUCUUUUUUUUUUUCCUUUCAAGGGUAUAGCACUACUUGUUUCUCACUUUCUGUCUACAAAGCUCUUUGCUAUACGUUUGGAUUUGACUGGCUUUACCAUUCUGUCUUUGCCUGCUCUUUAUUUUCUUGGAUCUUAAAUUUUUAGCAUUGAUUUGAUUUGCCCAUUUGAAAUGAUUCGCAGGUCUAAUGAAGCCAGAGGAAUGUAUGAAAAGCUGCAGUCUCACCCAAAUCCACAAGUGAGCAAGAAAGCUAGGCAGAUGAAUUUUGGUUUUCAGGUAAAGGGAAGCAGUUCAUUACUUGAAUAUAGUGUUUACUUUGAACACUUGAAGACUUCUUUUUUUUUUUUUGUUUAUCUGAUCUAGAAACUACAAAUGUGUUUUCACAUCUGUCUUUAGUGUGACCACUUUGAGCCUCAAAGGGAUGCUUUUGUUGACGUACAUCCAACUUAAUGAUUACUUCCUUGCAAUACUCAUGAUAUCUUGUUCUACUCCAACACUGCUAGUUGUAGAUUGUAUUAAUUAGGAAACUUUUUUUUUCUUUUGGAAGCUUCUCCUUAAUGCAAUUUUUUUCUGGAAGGCUUUCAGUUAAUUUUUUUCAUGUGACAUAUGGCAGGCCAUGGUGAUGAUAAAGGUUACAAACUCUACACUUUCUCCUAAAAAUACAGGUUAUCAGAAUUAUUUUGAUGCUUUUAUCAGGGAUAAAACUAAUUAUCCUCUCGAAGAGGCUGAAGUUGAUGAAGCUGUAUUGAGCCAAGCCCUACCAUAUAUGAUCCUUCUUCUUUCUCCUAUUCUGAUUGUGCUACUCAUCGCUGCUCAAAAGGGCCUGCAAAGUUGAACAAAUGUUGUUGCAAGGGAGAAGCUUCUCUUUGAAGGUGUAAAUUUGUCACAGAAGUGUUUCUUUUGGACAAUUUCAUAGUCAACUUUUUCAUCAUAUUAGAUUUGGAAAGUUAGCUCUGCAGUCAUCAAUGCCAAGAAAUUUUUUUUUUUGUCCAGAAAAAGGAAAAAGAGAAUACAGCAAGCCAACAAUUUAUUCAGAGUUAUGAAAUUUUAACUCAAUUGUUCAUUGAAACACAUUUUGUACUCUAUAUCUGGAGACAGUUUUGGAUCAGCUAACACUAAAAAGUAAAAUCUACCAUGCUCACAACUGUGAAGUGGGAAUUCUCCAGUUAUAGUGGAUGGCAUGAUUUAGUCAUUUGGCAGGUUCUUCGGCCUCUGGUCUUUUUCUUCUUUUCGCUUUGCGGCCAGAACAAUUCAACUGGAUUUUCAGUUCUUUCCUAUCUUGAUCCCAUAAGCGGUACCCGUUUAGUCAUUUGAUAGAUCCUUCAGCCUCUUGUCUAAACACAACUAAAUACUCAUCAUUUGUAUCUUUUCCUUUGCUUUAUUCAUUUGAAUGCCUAUGUUAGUUCUGCAAACUGGAGCAGUGUUGACCAACCCAAACCGAUUUCCAGCUUUUAGAGGACCAUUUCAGGGAUAGAUUCUUCAUAACCUGAAAAACUUUAUAGUAGAAAAUGAUAAAAGGAAGAUAUCCAAUGACAAAUUAAUCAAUAAGUCCACCUAGAUUUAAGUUGAAUUGUGGAAAAGCAGUGGCAGACAAAUUGAUCAACUGAUUACUCAUACUUCAGUCCAAACACUAAUGACCAAUACUGACAAAAAGGAGGCAAAAUUGUUUUGUAGGCAAAAUUACUAAUGAUUUAAGUUGGAACUUUUGGAUGCAUUGUUGGCAAGUUACGUUGGGCACUGGAUAUCAUGCAACGAAAAUGACAACAGAUAUUAGACAAAAAAAAAAAAAUCGAAUUGGGGAAUAAUAUAUCAGGAUUUGUUUUAUGACGUAGAAAUGUUUCAGUCCCAGCUAGUUGCUUUUUCCUUUUUGUUUCCCUGUACAGUCCAAAUAAAUUACGUGGUAGUGAGAUCGUUACAAAUGUCUCAAUAAUCAGAUUUAAUGUGCGUUGCAAAGAAUCAUAUGAUUACAAAAUCAGCAUCAGAAUAAAACGAAGAACAAAAAAGUCUACUAAUUUCAGUCACCAUUUGUUUGGCAUUACAAAAACAUGAAAAGGACAAAAAGGCAUCAAGAAAAAGCAGAUUCCAAUUUAAGAAAGGGUUCCUCAUGAAUGAUCAAUAAUAAUUACCAAAGAAUUUAUCAAGGGAAAAUACUAUGCGAUAUGAUAAAUUAUUUAAACUUCAUUUUCUUUAAUUGUAAGAUUUAGUUUAUUUAGUAUUUGCUGACUUUUUUUUUUUUUUUAUAAAACCAUUAUUUCAUAAUCCUUGAUGAUAUGACCAGUGCAUCAGCAUCUCUUGAUAAAUAUACAGUCCAUCUUCUGUGCCAAAUCAACAAUAAUACGCAUUCUUACAUUCUAUGAUAUUAUGGUUCUAAGAGUAAAUAUUAGGAGCAAGUCCCACUAAGAAUAAUUUUAUUUGGCAUGUAUCCAUUCAACUCUUAAAAAUUCAUCCCAAACAUUACAUGAAUACUUCAACUUCCAAAGCAAGGGAUUUGGUGAACUACUGAGAAAUCAGCCCUACUGAUUUGAGGUUCGGUACAGCACUUGCAGAAAUUGCUUAUCUCCAUUCUCUCUGUUGAAUUAGUGUGGUGAGUACCCUAAUUAACUUCAUUUUUUAUUUUUUUUAUAGGCAUAAAUACAAUUUUGUUUCCUAAUAUUUGGCCCAAGUGUUCAAAUUGGUCCUUAAUGUUUCAAUCAAAUAAAUUUGAUCCCUGAAGUUUCUAAUUUUAUGCAAAUUCAUGACAACAAAGGAAAAAUCACAUUAAGUAACACUCAAAAUCAAAUUGCAGUCAAAAGUUUAAACUUCGUGCUUUUGUUCCCUAAUAUUUGGAGUUUCAAUCAAUAUGGUCUUCAGGCUUCAAAUGAAUAUAAUUAUGAUUUAAAAAUGAGAUAAAAUGUGAACUAAAUUAAAUAUAUGACUAAACUUGAAGACAUGCAAUCUAAUUUUGGCAGAAUUGACUCUAUAAUUUUUUAAGUGGGUGGAUAGACAUUGUAACGAUGUAGCUCACUCUUUUGCUAGAUAUGCCCAAUCUGUUAGCAAUCAAUCUAUUUGGGAGCAUUAUGCUCCUUCAUUUGUACUCCCUAUUCAAAUGGUUGAUUUUCAGCCAUCAUAAUAAAGUUUUAUGUUUCUUAUUAAAAAAUUUUAAUAACACCUCAUAUUGAUACUACACCAUCCAUAAGUUUAAAGUGCAACUCUUUGUUAAUUUACAUGCAAUGGAAUAAGUACAUUGAGAUAAUAUAUAAAUGAAAAUUAGUGGAAGAAAAUGAGAGUUGUUGCGAAACUAAUACUAAUGAAAUAACAUAAUAUAAAAUAGAGAGAUGUAGACAAGAGAAAAGUAUAUAAAAGUAUAGAAUUAUUAUUUUAUAACUCAAAUGAUCAAAUGCUUACAAAAAGAUGUUGAGUGACUUCUAUUUAUAGAGACAUUGAAUAUAAGGAAACUAAAAGGUUAAUCUCUAAUUAUAAGAGAGGUUACAAAAUUAAUUGUACAGGGAAACUAAACGGUCAUCCACAUCAACUCUUUUAUCCUUUCAUAUUUUGGGGGAAUUCAAUAGACAUAGGAAAACUCAAUGGACAUAGGAGAAUGUAAUGGACAUUCAUCUCAUUUAGUUGUUUCAUAAUAUUUCCCCUUCGAUGUCCAUUACAUGAAGAAUAUAUCUUAUUAAAACCUUAUUAGGAAAAAAUCAGUAAAAAAAAAAUGCAAAUGAAGGAAAAAUAGUAUGCUAUUACUAUGUAUCAAAUUCUCUCCCUGAUUUAAACAUUAUUUGAGAUCUUUCAAUAGAUGCAUUCCAAUAAUUUUCACCAAUUUUUCAAAUGUUGUAGUCAGAAAUGGUUUGGUAAAUAAAUCUACCAAAUUAUUACUCAAUCGGAUUUGUUGCACAUCAUUUUCACCGUUCGUUUUGUAACUUAUGAGUAAAGAAAUAUAUUUCAUCCUAUCAUUUUUAAUAUAUCCUUCUUUCAAUUGAGUUAUACAAGCUAAUUUAUUUUCAUACAAUAUAGUUGGAGGAUUUUCUUUCUCAAAUGAUGAUCCAUAAUUCUUCCAGAUAUUGUGGGUCAUUGAUUUAGCUAAACAUAUUUUCAACUGGUCUCAUGAACUGCUAUUAUUUCAAUAUGAUUUGAAGAAGUGACAGGUAUUGAUUAUUUUGUAGAUUUCCAUGAAAUAAUUGUACCACUACAUGUAAAUAUACAACCAGUUUGAAACCUUGCUUUAUGUGGAGUAGAUAAAUACCCAACAUCAUCAUAACCAAGCAAUUCAUGUUGAGAUUUAUUCGAAUAAAAUAGGCCAAGAUCAACUGUUGUAAGGCCCGAAGACAACCAAUGAGACAAUGAACAAGAAAGCAAAACUGCUUGGGAGUAGAAGAGAUAAUCAAUUUAAAGAACACAAACGUAACAAUAAGUAAAUAAAAAGGAAAGAAUAGCAAACCAAUUAACUAUCCAACUCCUCUUGAGCUUGUAGGUUAAUUCAAACAAGCUACUUCAAGUUGAUGAAUUACAAUCACUCUUUUAUACAAAAGAAGGUUCCUUGCCCCGAACUCCACUCGGCCAAGCCAGGAUGUUUUACUAUCCCUCAGGACAACCCUCACAGAGCUACACUCAUGAAGUAUUCACUCACAAAUGAAAAACUUACAAUGAAUCUCACACCACUAAGACUACAAAUCUUCUUUGAAGAGUAUUUUCUCACUAAAAUCACUCUAGAUCUUUUGUAUCUUUAGUGUGUCAAAGUUAUUUGAAGUAUCUGACCAACCACUAUUUAUAUAAGAUCAAGAAAGUGCCUCAUUAAUGCUUCCAACGGAUAGAAAGUAGCUGAAGAGUUAGCUAGCCGUUGGAGUGUCGGACGUCCGAUAGCACUGUUUUAUGCGUCCGAUCGGACGUCCGACAGCAGGCAGUGAGUUUAAGAGAUUUUCUUCAAUUCUUUCGAACAUCCGGUGCAAGCUUUUUGUGCGUCCGACAGUAAACAAAGAGAUUUGAGAAAUUAUUUUGUUUCUAUCAGACGUCCGGUAGAGACAUAUUCAGCGUCCGAUAGUUUUGUCGACUUCGAAAGAUCCUAUCGGACGUCCGAAGCAUGCGGCCGAAGUUGUGCAAUGAUUAUCAAACGUCCGGUACUGUUUUCUUGAGCGCCCGACAGGUUCAGCAUACUUUGUCUUUUUCAAAUGCGCUUAAUCUUUGAACCUGAUUUAUUUCAUUAUUGAAAAAGCCUUUGAGGAGAUGUUAGCAACAUCCAUUUGUUUUGUAAUCAUCAAAAGUUAGGGACCAAGGUCAACAACUGUUCCUUAGAGAUAGCCAAAACAAUGCUUUAUACCAUACCAAUGUCAUUUUGUAGGAGAGGAACUAUAUAUUCUGUUUUAUAUAAUUAACAAAAUAUAUUAGUGCUCCAAUUGCUCUAAGAUAUAGUACUUUAGAACCAAGAAUCUCUUCAUCUUCAUCUCUUGGUUUAAAAGAAUCCUUAAUAGGAUCUAGUGACUGAACAACCAUUGAAGUAUUUAAUGGAUGUAUUUUAUCUACAUAAAAUUGCUUUAAUAUUUUCUAGGUAUAAGCAGUUUGGUGGACAAAAAUUUUAUUUUCUAAAUGUUUAAUUUCCAAACCAAGGAAAAAUGUAGUCUUGCCAACAUUUUUUAUCUCUAAUUCUUUCUUUAAAUAUUCAUCAGAUAUUAGUAACUCUUUAGAAGUUACAAUCACAUUGAAAUCAUCAAUACAUAUGGUAUGAAUUCCUGUUUGUAUUCAACUACUUUUACAUCUUUUAGUGUUUGGAUUAUAGGUCCAAAGACUUUUCAUUUUUGCCAAUGAAUUCAAUUUUUGUAGGAUCGCAGCUUUCUAUUUUAACCAAUCAUUUCUACACCGACAUGCAUCAAUCGAUAUAUUUUCAUGAUCCUCAUUAGUUUCAAUUAUGCCAACUGCUACACUAUAUGUAAAAAUAUUUAUUUCUGAUCGUUUAGGCUCCAACAUUUUUUAAUUUUCUAUAUUUUCAUCCUCUUCAAGAGUAUACUCUUCAUGAGCUAGCUGUUUAGGAUCGAUUCUUUUUCAAGAGGUUGAAUUUUGCCAUUAACAUUUACUUAAUCUCCAAAGAUAUUGGAAAUCAAAAUGUCCAACGUAAUUUAGGUGGCCUAGCCUUAAACUCAUUUGUAGUUUUUGUAUAUGUCAUUUAGGGACAUCAAUUUUAACCAGAGUAUUUCUUGUAGGAAUAUUUGAUUUAAUAACUCUUCUGGAGUCAUUAAUGCAUCCAGUAAUUGAUUUGCAAUUUUUUGCAAAUGUAUAAUCCUUUGAAGUUUUAGUUCACAUCUUUGCCUCUUCCUAUUAUCAAGAAAUAUAAUUCAUCAAAAUCACAAUCUGCAAAUCUUGCAAUAAAUAAAUCACCAUUUAAUGGUUCAAUAUAUUUAAUUAUAGAAGGUGAUUCGUACCGGAUAUAUAUCCUCAAUUUUCUUUGCAGCCCAUUUUAGUACGUUGAGGCGCCACAAUUGGAACAUAAACCUCAAAAUAAAAAAUUUUUUAAAUGAGAAAAUAUUGGGGUCAUAACCAAAUGUGAUUGCAAGGGAGAAUAAGUAUGGUAAAUUGUUGACCUAAUUCUCACAAGUAUUAUUACAUGUAAUAUAGCAUCUCCCCAAAAUCGAUAGAGGAAGUUUGAACCUCAUUAACAGCAGUCUAGCAAUUAAUUGUAGCUGUUUAAUAAAUGAUUUGGCUAGACCAUUUUGUGUGUGAACAUAAACUGUAGGAUGUUCAACAAUUAUUCCAAUGGACAUGCAAAUAUUAUCAAAGCAUGUGAUGAAUAUUCAUCAACAUUAUCCAGACAAAUUUUCUCAAUCAGAUAAUCCGAAAAUUGUACUUGCAAUUUAAUUAUCUGAAUAAGCAAUCUCGCAAAUGUUAGGCUGCGAGAAGAUAACAUACAUAUAUGUGAUCAUCUUGUCGAUGCAUUAAUUAGUGCCAUAAAAUAUCUAAAUGGUCCACAUAAUAGAUCUAUAGGUCUACAUAUAUUACCAUAAAUUUGGUUUAGAAAUGCAGGGGAUUUAGUCCCUAUCUUAGAUGGUGAUGAUUUAAUAAUUAAUUUUCUUUAGGAGCAAGCAACACAAGAAAAUUCAUUAGAAUUCAACACUUUUUGACAUUUCAAUGAAUGGCCAUGUGAAUUUUCAAUUAUUUCUCACAUCAUUAUCGACCCAGGAUGACUUAGGUAAUCAUGCCAAUUCAAAAAAUCAUUGAGAUCAGUAAACUUUUGACUUUGCAUAAUAUAAGCCAGAAGAGAGUGAAAGCACCUUUAGGCACCUUUUCUAAUACAUAUUUCUUCCCAUAAAUGGUACUUGUAAUUAAUAGGUAUGCCAAUUUGUCUCAUUUAGUGUUUUGAUGUGAUAUCCAUUUCGGCAAAUAUUUUGAAAAUUCAACAAAUUUCUUCCAGACUUAAAAGAGAGCAGUGCAUUAUUUAUGAAAAUUUUUGUUCCUUUAGGGAGAAAUACAGUGGUUUUUUUGGAGCCUUCAAUCAAUUUGAUACUACCACUUAUAGUAUUGAUAUUUGUCUCUCCUAUUUUGUGUUUAAGUAUGGUGUGUAUAGUUGCACUAUCAAUAAGGCAAAUAUCAUCAUCAUCAUUCUUUGGUCCCAAGUAUUUGGCAUCCAUUUAUUCCUCAGUAAGAAAAAUUCUUCUAAAAAAUAUUAAGAUGCACAAGUACACUUUCGUAAUAUAAAUGAUAACGAAAUAAAUUGAACUCAAAAGGAAAUGUUACCCCAAAGUUUUCCAAUUGUAUGAUACUUUUGCUCAAUAGUAGACACUUGCACUUGAUUGUUCACAAGUAUAAUCUUGAGCUUUACUUUUGCUCAAGGUAGAAACUCCUAUUACACUUUUGUUCAAAAGUAGUGGCUAGUGUUGAUAUGGUGUUGGAAAAUGAAUAGUAAUGAAAUAACAAAAUGUAGAAUAGAAUAAAAUAGAGAGAUAUAGGCAAGAGAGAAAUAGACAAAAGUAGAGAAUUAUUCUUUUAUUAACUCAAAUAAUCAAAAGUUUACAUAUUGAUGUGGAUGACCUCUAAUCAAAAGUUUAUGUGUUUUUAGGGUUAUUUUCAAAAAUUUAUUAUAACUGUGUAUAUUGGUACAAACUUUUACUACAAAUACAUUUUAGAGGUUUUUUUUUAGUUUUUUAACUAUGUGAUAAACGUCACUCCUUUCCCUUUCUCUUCCCUAACUACCUACCUUUCUUUUCUACCCUUACCCUCGACCUCCUCUUUCUCCUCUCUUUUGUCACCUCUUGUUUUUUCCAUCCCUUUUUUUCACUAGCCCUUUACCUCUUUCCUCCGCUAUCUUCUCCCUAUCUCCCUUAUGCUUCCUUCUGUUGGAAUUCUUUGUGAAUAAAAUAGAAAUAAAUUUUGUUAUAACAGAGAAGCUGAAAACUUAAGCGUCUGUUAGGAACCAAAAAGUUUCUGAAAUAUUUUUUGUAUUAUCUAUCCAUUGAAGAAACUUAAAUGGUGCCUCUUAAUGUUGAUAAAUGUGUGAAAUAAUGGCUGAGCAAUUUUCGUAACUCUUAGGUUGUGUCUUUCACUAUAGAAUAAUAAAUUUCUAACAAAUCAACUAACUAGAAUCUUGAUCGUUUCUUUAUAAGGGGAAAAUUGAUAUUUGCUAUCAAGUUUCUCUAAAUCUUGUUAUAUCGUAGAGAUAAAUCCUAUAACAAAAACUUGGUAUAGUGCAGGCAAAUAAUACCUUAAGGAUAAUGUUAAACAGGCUCAAGAUCAUUAUCUUUAACCCACUUUUUAGUGAAAUUUGCAUAAUACAAAUCUCUACACUUUCAUAUGCUUGUGUAUCAAUUACAUUAACAAUGUUAAAGUGCUAUUUGUGGGUUAUUAGUGCAAAUGAGUUUGCUAUUGAAAAUGCAAUCAAGGUGUUAAUUUAGCCACCAAUCUCUAUUUGACAAGAUGAUGAUAACAAGACAUUGAAGAAAGGUCUUGAAGGCAGAGAGAAAGAAGCAUGAAGAGGACAAAGUGAUAAACACUAUCUUGAGUUGUUUCUAUGACUUGUUCACUGCCAUCAAACUACCUAGAGAAGUUUGGAUUGCAUUGGAGUACAAGAAAACUCAAAUAAGAUGCAAAAAAAUUCUUGUAAUACAUGAUUUGAAUUUUGUGUUUAUGAUGGUUCUUCUCUCCUUGACCAAGUAAUGAUCUAUAUGUAAUUUGAAAAUCAUAAAGUGGAGAUUUCUGUGUUAUUUCAUAGUGGAGGUAACUACUGAAAAUUACGUCUAGUUGAAAUGACAAUCAAAGAAAAUCACUCUACACUACUAAAACAUGUAUGGUGGAUCAUGCUUAGAAUCAUUUUUGUAUAGAGGAAGAUGCUGGAAUUCUCUAAAAAGGGAAGUUGCCAUUGAUCCCGCGAUGAAUAAUAUGGAGAAGUAGAAGAAUACCAACAACAUCUUCAUUGGAGGGUCUAAGAAAAAAAUUUUCUAGAUGAAAAUACUAAAUUUAAGGACAAGGAGAAUUAAUAUUGUCCAAGAAUAGCAUAUUCGUCAAGCGAGAUUAUAUGACAUGUUUAACCUGGAAAUUAAUUAGUGUCAUAAUUGUACUUAUUUGAUUGAAUCUUCUUAUUCUUUGUGGCAUGAUAGUUUAUAACAUGUGAAUAUAGAAUAUAGUAUUUUAUGUCACAUAACCUAAGAAAAGAAGUGUAAAACAUGCACUCAAAUGUAGUAAUAAGUAUUUUAUUAUCUUGAUUAAUAAUUGUUCAAUACUUGUGCAUGUGUAUUUAAGGCAAAACGCCUAAACAAUAGCAUGAGAUAUGCAUAUCUAUGUUACUCUCAAGUGAAUUCAGGUACUACAAAUGCUGAUAAUGCAUUUGUUCUAAAUUUAGUCAAGACUAUGUUGUGAUCAUAAGAUGCUAAUUAUUAAAGUUAAAACUUUAGCUACUGCAUAUGUAAAAAGGCGAAGUGGUUUAGGGUUUGUUACUUGAUAACAAAUUAUGGUGCAACUUAUGCCUCCUAUCUCUUUAUUUUGUAAUGUGUACCUACCAUAUCUAGAGCCUUGAACAAGGUGAAUAAUAGUAAAUCUAGACAUUUUAAGUCUAAUACAUUAGUAUCUGAGCAAACGUCAUAAAAAUGAUGUUGUGCUAGUUGUAUAAAUAAGAACAUGCAACAAUUAAGGAUAUUUGUCAGCUAAACCCUUGUCAAGGAAAUUGGUAAAUUUAACAUCAUUAUGUAUGGGGGUUGAAAAUUUUGAUCUAAAAUCACUAGUAAUAGAAACCCUACCUUGAUUCUUGUGCUACCACUAGAUGAAAAGGUCAAAGGGGUAAUAACAAAUUAUUAAGUGGUUUUGAGCAUUAGGUACUAUUAUAUUCAUUCUUACCUACUAAUGCAUGUUGUUAUAAGAGGAUAAGUAUAUACUGAAAUUAUACUCUUAAUGAAGUGUAAAUCUUCUUAUCGUGUUUGGUCCUAUAAAAUUUGAAAAUGUCUUCACCUACAGGAUCUUAGAAAUGAUGCCACUUUCGGAAAAAGUUGGGUUUGCUUUUGUUUAUAAUCAUGAAUUUAGGAUGGAGUACAUGGCCAGUAAUAGUGCUAAAGUCCUUUGUGAAUUGAUCAAUGUUUAUAAUACCAUGUGUGUAAUAUAUUUAGUUUAUUUUUCAAGUCAUGAUUUAAUACUAUGUGCAACCUUGAUUUGGUUAGAUUUGGUGAUGUACUUACAUUAAAAGAAAAGUUUAAAUCUACCGAUACUUUUUUUAUGCAUGGUAUUUAUGUGUUAGUUUAUUUAUUUCAUUUACAAACUAAGUGGGGAUUGUUGGAAUAGUUUGUGAAUAAAAUAGAAAUAAGGCUUGUUAGAACAAAGAAACUAGAAACUUAAGGGUCCAUUGAGAGUCAAAAAGUUCUGCAAACAUUUUUGGCAUUUUCUGUCCAUUGAAGAAGCUUAAAUGGUAACUUUUAAUGUCCAUAAACGUGUAAAACAAUGGCUGAACAAUUUUUGUGACUCUUGGGUCGUGUCUUUCAUUAUAACAUAAUAAGUCUCUAACAAAUCAACCAACCAGAAUCUUAAUCUUUUUCUUUGUAAGAGAAAACUUGACAUUUCCUAUCAAGUUUCUCUAAAUUUUGUUAUAUCUUAGAGUUAAUUUGCCAUAAUCCUGUAACAAAUACUAUGAUAGUGGGGGCAAAUAAAACUUUAAGGAUAGUGUUAAAUACACCUCAAGAGCAUCAUCUUCAACCCCACCAUCUUAUUGAAAUUUGCAUAAUACAAAUUUCUACACUUUUGUGUGUUUGUAUAUCAAUUACAUCAACACCUUCACUUUUUUAGAUAUCUCAAUUUGGGGUGCAAACGAGUUGAGUCGAGUUGAGUUUUGAUCUAAUUGAGUCGAAUCUCCAGUUAAUUUUAUGAAGCACGAACUCGAGUUCGAGCUCGACAAACUCAAAAUGUCAAGUUUGAGCUUAAAAAAAAUAAUUAUUAUUUUAUUUUUAAAAAAUAAAAAAAUAAUUAUUAUUUUAUUUUUAAAAAUAAAUAAAAUAAUAAUUUUUAUUAAUAAAUAAUAAAAUAUUAGGGAUAUAAUUAUUUUACUAUUAAAAUAAAAAAUAAAAAAAUAUAAUCGAGCUCUCGAGUAGAGCUUUAUGUUUUUGAGCUUGAGCUCGAGUUCGAAUUCGAUUUGAUCAGCUUGAGCUCGACUCAAGCUCAAUAUUGAUCGAGCUUGUAUUGGAGCUGCUCAUUCGUUUGCAGCCCUAAUCUAUUAGAGGGGAAAAGGGAGGAGUGGGCUUGAGGGAAGCAGGGGAGCGAGAUGUGGAAAAAGAGAGAGAAGGAGAAGAGUAAGGAAGGUAGCAAGUUUCAACCAGAUAAGGUGGGAAGGCAGAGAGAGGGGUAGAAAAGGAGGAAGAAGGAAAAGGAAAAGGGAAAAGAAAGAGAAAGGUAAAAAGGGGGAAGGAGAGUUGGUUGAGGCAGUAGAGGGAGAGGGAUGGUUUGAAGAGGUGGAUUGGAUUUAGUGAUAGGGGUGGUGGGGGAAGCAGCUCAUCUCAGUUGGAAAAUCUCUCUAUUUCCCUCAAUGCACUCCUAGAUAUGCGACAUGUGUCACAUUUAUGAGGAAAGGUCAGGAUCAUUUUGACUUAACCACAUCUAGUAAUCUUGGUUAUUUGAUGUUAAAUAACUAAAAAUUAACACCAUUACUACUCUUAUUUUCUUGCUCUCACCAUCAAAAAACAUAAAAAUCCAAAUUUUCAAUAUGCCACCAAAAUUAAAAAAUUAGAGAACCUCAACUAAAUUAUUCAAGUGCACAAAGCAGAAUCACAAGAAGAAUAUCCAAGUGCAGAAACCCGAAUAAAAAUAAAGAGAGGAGGAAGGAGAUUUUUGGCCUAUUUUGCAAAAUAAUAGGUUUGUAAUGGUAUGUUUCUAAUUUUUUCUAUAUGUAAUAAGUGAAAUUCCGUUGGAUAAAGAAUGUAUUGGCUUGCAUGCACUUGUGAUCGAUGAACUAAGAAAUAGAAAAUUUGAGGUUUGUUUUAUGGUUGCCUAGAAGAUGUUUGAUAAGUUGCCUAGGUGGAAAAUUGUUAUCUAUAGUAUGUUAAUGAAUACAAAGGUUUUACUAGUACAUUUGUUUAUAAUGGCUAUGCCUAAUUAAGCAUUUGGAUGCUAGUUCUAGUUGAAAUGGUAAAGUAUAAAGGAUAAACUUGUAAACCAGCAUUGCCAAGGGACUAGAACAUGAAUUGCUCAUUAGAUUUUCUUCAAAAUAAUUAGAAUAACUUAUAGUGCCUUAAACUAUAGCUCUAGUUAAUUUUCUCAAACAAAUUGUACUUCAGACGUAAUAUGUAUGAGUUUAGAAGCCGAUAUCUGUCUACCCACAAAAAAGAGUUUGGGAUUGUACGCUACUUGAGGCCUACCUAAUCCAUCUAGAGUUAAAGAAUAACAAAACCUAAAUUUGACCAGGUUUAUCAAAAGAUUCUAGUUUGAAAUUCCUUGUGUACAUUUAAGCUAAAAUUCUAUGAGACAAAGUAGGUAUUGAUAUUGUCUUUGGAACAUGAUUUUCAAAAGCAUUAACCUAGAAUGAAUAUUAACAAAGGUAUCUGAUUGUUAAAUUAUCUGAUAUGAGAAGUUGCUACAUUGAAUUUUGUUUUUUUUUAAUAAUAGGGUAGCAAAUUUACGUCACUAUGUAUAUGGAAACUUAGUUUAUUUGUAUUAUGUCUCAUGCUUAUUAGUCAUUUGAAGUUAACUUGUGUCCUGUCUUUUAUGUGCAAAAAUACAAAGUUUUCUCCUUGAUUAAAAUUUUAUGUGCAAAAUCACAAAGUUUUCUCCUUGAUUAAAAUUUUAUGUAGGAGAUGACGUGUGACAAUCUUCAAUCAUCUUAUGCUUUAUUUCUUGGUACAUGGAUAAUCUACCAAAAUGAACUUGACCAUGAUGACAUUGAUCCAUCAAAUGAACUAGUCCAUGAUAAUAUUGAUCCACUCGAUGAACUACACUACGAUGAUCUUGACAUCUUGCCAAUGAGUUUAGGAAUGGAAUCAGAAUAGAAGAAGAUGCAUAUACAUAUUAUAAUAGAUAUGCUUGUGCUAUUGGUUUUAGUAUUCAAAAAGAAUAUGCUAACAAGAAUAAAGUGCAUGGUUAUGUAAUAUCAAGAAAGUUGAUGUGUUAGAAGGAAGGUUUCAAAGGGAAAGACAAAUGUGGUAUUUUUGUAAAGAAACCAAGAAGAGAAACCCGAACGGGAUGUCUAGCACAUAUCAUUAUUAGGCGUCAGAGAAUGCAAUAUAUUGGGUUACUUCUUUUGAAAAAAAAAGAAACAUAAUCAUCAUCUUGUUUCACCAAAACUUGCUCACUUGUUAUCAUCAUUAAGGAAGAUUCAAAUUGUUCAGGCAAUUGGCAUUUACUUGGCUGAUGAUUCGGGAAUACUAGUUAAAGUUUCUUUUGAGUAUGCUUGUUGACAAGCUGAAGGUCGAGAAUGUCAAGGAUAUACUAGAAGCGAUCACAAAAAUUACAUUUGUGAUAAGUCAAAAAAUGACUUGAAACACGGAGUAGCUUGAAGUACGUUAGACUGCUUCGAAAGGCGAAAACUAGAAGAUCCUAGAUUUCAUUCUUUACUUUAGUUGGAUGACAACAAUUUGAUUGCUAAUGCUUUUUGGGCAUAUUCAAAAACGAUUAAUGAUUACAGAAUCUUUAGGAACGUGGUAUCAUUUGACACAAUCUACAGAACAAACAAAGAUUGCAGACCAUUGGCAUUAUUUGUUGGUAUGAUAAUCACAAAGAAAUGAUCAUUUUGGUGAUACUUUGAUGUAUGAAGAAUCUACAAAGUCAUUCGAAUGGCUUUUUGAGGCAUUUACUAGAGUAAUGGGUCAGAAGAAACUGAAGACAUUUCUUCCAUAUGAAUGUUCAGUAAUCGCUAGUGCUGUCCAGACAGGAUGAGGAAGAUUUUUUAGAUGUUUGGAAUAAUUUGAUUCAGACAUGUGGCCUUGAAAAGAAUAAUUAGCUAAAGGAAAAAUUUACCACUACAAAAAAGUGGUCUCUUGCAUAUGAAAGAAGUACAUUUUUAGCUGGCGUGCGGAGUACACAAUUAAGUGAGAGUUUCAAUGCCUCACUAAGAAAAUAUUUAAGGUAUAACUUGGAUGUGGUACAAUUCUUUGAACAUUUUGAGAGGAUAGUUGAUGGGAAGUGGUGCAAUGAUAAAGAAUCAAAUUUUGACAUGUCACAAAGGUCGUCUGCCAUGAAAGUUGACAUUCCUCUUUUGAGAUAUGACAGGGAUAUUUACACUUUCAAAAUAUUUGAUAAGUUUCAAAAGUAGUGGUAUAAAUCUUUACUUGCUAAGAUUGUUGACUGCAAACUUGAAGGGACCACUUUUUGUGCAAAGUUUGCAUAGAGGGAAACACUAGAGAGUAUACCAUAAUAGUGGAACCAUGUGAAACAAAGGUAACCUACAGUUGUAAAUUAUUUGAGUUUCUCAAAAUACUCUAUAGACAUACAUUAAUGGUGUUAGAUGCAAUGAAUAUUAAAUUAUUAAUUUUGAGGCACUACAUCUUAGAGAGAUGGACCAAACAUGCAACCAGCAUUGAUCAAGUGCAUAUCAACGAAUUCAAUGAAGAAUUGGAAGUUAACAUGAGGUAUCAAAACUUAUACUCUACUUAUAUUAACUAACUAGCUAAGCAUCUCAAUCCAAAGAAGGAUCUCAAUUGCUUGCAAAGUAUGCAAGUAUCUUAAUGAUUGAAUUAAAGGAUAUUAAGAACAGAAAUAAUGUAGUGGGAUUGUCAAAAACUUUUGAAAGGGAUGAAGUAGAUGUUAUUACUAAAGAUGGCUGAAAGGUGAAAGGUUUGAAAAGAAAAGAGCCAAAAUUUUGAGGAAAUACAUGACCAAAGAAUUUCUUGGAAAGAGCUGCAAAGAAACAAGAAAAUUCCAAAGGUACCUGCAAAUAAGAAUAUUGUCAAGCAAUCAGCUCCUUACAAAAGUCCUAAUAGUACUUGUCAAGUUCAGAAAGAAGGUUCUUCCAGGGUAUGUAUUGCAAGUAAUUUGCUUUUUUUUUUGAAUAAUUUAAUAGUUUCAUAAUUUUAAGUGAUUUUUCCCUCUUUACUUGGUUUACAAUACAGUUUCUAAUAUAUUCAGAGAGAUCAAGAAAUUGUCUCCAUGUGGAUAAAAUAGCAAAAGGAUAAUAUGUGACUCUAGAUUGCCGGAUCUCAUCUUAAAAAUUUGAAAUCUUUUGUUGUUGUAUUUAAGGAAGUUUAGUAUCUCAUAAGUCAAUUCUCAAUACAUUUUAGUAACUAAUCAAUUGAAUGUUUGGAUUGUAGGCAGUUGGAGUAGUCCCAAGACAGCUGUUAUUGAUGUUGAGACUAAUGCCAUAGAUGAUGCAGACAAAGAAUUAGGGUACAUUUGGUGGCUUUCAAAACCAUAUCAAUUACCAUGUGAAGGAGAAUUUUCUCUACUUCUAAGGGUCUAUGCAAAUAAUUUUUAAAAUGUUUGGAGAUUUUUCACAACAGUGAAAACUAGCAUAUAUAAAUAGCUUUUUGUGUAUCAUUUGUAGGGUUUUUCAUGCUAUGAUCUGAAUAAAAAUCUACAAGGAUAAGAUUUAGAAAUUUACAGGUAAAUUAACUUAAAAAUUCCUGCUUUUAGUUGUGUUUUAGGGUAUGCCAUGCUACAUGCUAUAGAAUGAGGUUCUUUUUUAUUUAUUUGGUUUUUCCUUUUCAUUGUUCCUUUGCUUUCACUUGUCAUUAUGGAAUGAAAUGUAUCGGGUUCUUCUCAUGGUGUGUGAAACAUAAGGAUGGGAGGUUCCAGAUGAUGCUCACUGUCAAAUUUCAAAACUAACUCACUUAGUUUAGAUAUUGUUAGAAAGCAGUGGUAUUAUUGAAUUUGAAAUUGCAGUGAAAUUAGUUGAUUUGGAAGCUGACUGCAUAUUAUUACUGCAACAAUUGAGGGAUUUACAUUAGCAAAAAUUUUGGGUUACUAAAAAUCAAAACAAAUAGUUGCUAAGGAUUUACAUUAGCAACGUGUUUCUAAGAGUCAAUUCAUUGUGAUUAGUAGUACGAUAUGUUAUUUUCAUCAUGUCCUUUUAUAGCUGAAAAAAGUUAAUAUGAAUUAUUAUAAUUGCAAUUUUUGAUAUGGCUAGUGAAUAAAAGCUUUUCAAAUAAUAGCAAAUUCUUAGUUUUAUGAGAAUAGAUAUGCAAAAUUAUGUUGAUGAGCAGCAAAAAAAAUUUACUUUUUUGGAAUGGUACAUUUCACAUAAAACGUGGGUAUUAAUUAACUAUUUGAUUACAUAAUAAGGCUUGUCGAUUAUACAUUUUCUUUUACUAAGGAAAAUUGCUAUAAACUAUUGUAAUUUUCUUAAAUAUAUGUAUUGUAAAUAAAAGCUUUUCAAAUGAUGCAAAAUUCCAACCGAUAGAAAUAGUUAAAGACUUAGUCACUUGGUUCAAUAGCCAAAAAAAUUAUUUUUCAUGCGGUACCCUUUAUAAUAAGCAAUGGUAUAAUUCAACUACUUCAUAGUACAAGAUGAUUUUUUGAUUGUUCACUUUCUUGUACUAUAAAAAAUUAGUAUGAAUUAUUUUGGAUUUAAAUAUGGAUAGGAUUGUGAGACUUUUUCAAAUAAUGAAAAAUGAAAAAAAUAUAUAGUUUUGGUCCGCAAUGUUUGGCUAAGAACCUAUUUUAGUCCCUAAAAUUUGAGCCAAAGUGAAUCUGAUCGUUAGUUAGAAUUCAAAACUUUACCUAACUACCCUAUCCGCAAGUAUACGGGUCAACGAAUAUAGAGUAUUAAGGUCGUUUGCAUAGGGACUAAGGAAAGCACUAGGAUUUUGUUCACUGGCUUUCAUGAUUUACCAAGGAAAUAACUUCCUAAUGCGUGUCCUUGCUUUAGCCAAUGAACAUGAUGUUGUUGGAAAUUGUUUUUUCCAAUUUCUCAACUAUUUAUACCCUUUUUUAACCUAUUUUCAUAGAAAAAAGAUUAAAUACAAGUUGAAUAAGUUCAAUGAAAUUAUUACAUGAAAAUCCACCCAACUCUAUUCCCUACUUUCGUGAGAAUAAAAUUAGGAUCUAAGAACCAAGAUUUAUAUAUAGACAACUUUCAUUGUUCAUACAAUCAUCAAAUAAUUCAUAGUUGGUGGCCAACAACCAUAAAUUGUAAGCACAAGUUCUUAGACUAGUCAAACCAUGAAAUAGCAUAAUCAUUUCUAACUACUUCAUAUCAAAGCAACAAGAAGUUCAUUUUUACCAUUAAAUAUGAAAAGUUUAGCUAAACAUCAUGUUAAGCACGUCCAAGCAUGAAUAACACUUGCAACUAAACAUUGAAAAUAAGCACAAGAGGAAAAGAGUACAGGAAGAAUAAUUCUUAUUCAAUUUCUCGAAAUUGAAUUCUUGAACUCCUUUACAAGUUGUUCCCUUAAAUAAGUAAAGUGCAAGAAUGUCUCUUCAAUUUCUCUUUUAAACUCUCUCACUAAACUAGAGUAACAAAAAACUCGAUCCUAAAUUUUGACUAAAAUAGUUCCUAUGUCAAAUUUUUGGGGCCAACACUACAUUUUUUUAAUUAAAAACUCGCUAAGUUUAUGAGUAUAGAUAGGCACAUGUGUUGAUAAUAGGACAAAGAGGUCUUGCAUUCAAAUCUGCCUUUCAAUUCCAUGCUUUUUAAAUUUCACCCAUUCUCUACUAGAAAUUUUUUUUUUAAAAAAAUGGAUAGACAUAAUUAUUUUGGUUAGAUAGCCAAAAGUAUUAAAUUUUUAGUAUGCUACUUUUUGUAUUAAAUGACGAUACAAUUUAACACUUUCUUUCACUAAGCAAAGUUGGUAUGCACUGAUAUAAUUUUAUUUUUGAUAUGGAUGGUGAAUGAAUUGAAUGAAAUUAUUUUCAAAUUAUUAAGAAUUUCUAUUUUUUACAAAUUCAAAUAAUUAUGUAAGACCCGAAGACAACCUAAGAGGGGGGUGAAUUAAGUUGAUUAGAAAACUAAUCAAGUUAUGGGCACUUUUUGUUCAAUAUGAAAUUUAUCCUCUUUCUUAAGUGAUCACACAAUGAAUCAAUCAAUGAAUGAACAAUAUCACUUGAGAGAACUAGAAGAGAUAAGCAAUUUAAGGAUCACAACAUAACAAUAAGUAAAUAAAAAAGGAAGAAUUGCAAACCAAUUGACUACCAAACUCCUUUUGAACUUGUAUACCAAUUCAAACAAGUUUCUUCAAAUUGACGAAAUACAACCAAUCUUGUGUACAAAGGAAGGUUCACUUCCUCCUUGUCCCAAUUUUCACUUGGUCAAGUUAGGAAGUUUUACUAUCCCUCAGGACAACCCUCACAGACUUAUACUAUUGAAAUAUUCACUCACAAAUAAAAAGCUUACAACAAAUUUCACACCACCAAAACUACAAAUCUUCCUUGAAGAGUAUUUUCUCACUAAAAUCACUCUAGAUCUUUUGUAUCUUCAGUGUGCAAAAGUUAUUUGGAGUUUCUGAUCAUACUCUAUUUAUAGGAAACCAAGAAAGUGCUUCAUAAUGCUUUCAACGGAUAGAAAGUAGCUGAAGAGUCAACUAGUUGUUGGGAGUGUCGGACAUCUGAUACUCCUAUUUUUUGCGUCCGACAGCAGGCAGUGAGUUUGAGAAUUUUUUUUUAAUUCUAUUGGACGUCUGGUAUUGUCUUUGUGAACAUCCAACAGCUUUUAUCGAGUUUGAAGGAUCCUAUCGGACAUCCGGUAUUUCCAUCCGAUAGCAAACAAAGAGUUUGAAGGAUUCUAUCGGACAUCCGAUGCUUGUGUCCGAUCGAGGUCAGUGAGUUAGGGGGAAUGUCUUAUUUCCUUCGGACGUCCGGUGAUGGAGUUCUUCAUGCGUCCGAAGUUACACAAUGAUUAUCGGACGUCUGAUCCUGUCUUCACAAGCGUCCGACAGCUUUCAGCAACUUUUGUUUUUUUUCAAUUGCACUUGAUCUUUGAAUCUGAUUUGCUUCAUAACUGAAAGUAUAUCUUGAAGAGACAUUAGUAGCAUCCAUUUGUUUUGUAAACAUCAAAAGUUAGGGACUAAAAUCAACAAAUUACAAUUAUCUGAUAGGAAGCAAGAAAAAAAGUUUAUUCUUCCAAUAUGGUACCUUUUAUAUUAAAAAGAGUACAAAUUUAAUUGUUUCAUAAUCAAACACGAGUUUCUCAGUAAGGUUAAUUAUUUUCAAUUAUAAAAAUUGUGUCUUAAUAUGAAUUAUGAAUGAAAUACUUUUAAGUUCAUGAAAAACCCCCUUUAUGAGUACGAGUAACAAAUGCAUUUAGCAAUUGAAAAUUGAAAAUUUUACAAAUAAUAAGUUCUAAAAAUUUCUGAUUUCGGCACUUGAUAAUUUACUCCAUGGCUGGAGCUUUUGGCAGCAUAUUGAAAAUUUUGGAUUUUUAUGUUUUUUGACAGUCAAGAGAGCAAGAUAUGGUUAACAUCAAAUAACCAAGGUUACUAGAUAUGGUUAACUCAAAAUGAUCCUGACCCUUCCUCAUAAGUGUGACAUAUGUUGCAUAUUUUGUCAGGAUCAAGCGCUUACCAAUGCACCAAAAACUAUAGCUGUUAACGAAAGCGCAACUUUAUUUCCUUAACUACAAUGGCAGCGCAAAACACCGUACCAUGCUCGGCUAGCAUGAGGGGCUGCACCCCUGGGUGCCACGGAUUGGGCGGUUAGUCCCUUCGAAUCGAGAUCUGAGGGAUGUUACUGAUUAGGCCAAUAAUCCCUUCCCCAGCAACAGCCAGGAAGACUCGAACCCGCGACCUCGCUCUGAUACCACUUGUUAGGAUCAAGCGCUUACCAUUGCACCAAAAGCUAUAGCUGUUAGCGAAGGCGCAACUUUAUUUCCUUAACCACAGUGGCAGCGCAAAGCACCGUACCACGCUCGGCCAGCAUGAGGGCCUGCACCCCUGGGCGCCACGGGCUGGGCGGUUAGUCCCUUCGAGUCGGGAUUUGAGGGAUGUUGCUGAUUAGGCCAACAAUCCCUCCCCCAACAACAGCCAGGAAGACUCGAACCUGAAUGUUAGGAAGAUAGCCUUAUGUAACUGAAGUGUAUGUGUUUGAGGGAAUUGAGUGUCUUAUUCAUGUGCCAGAUAAACAUAUAAACAGGAGAACUUACAACUUCAAAUCCUAAAAAGAUGGCAAAUCAAUAUCUAAACUACUCUGCUGAUCCCCAGCAACUACACGGCUAGAACUAAGGAAACAAACCUCCAGUAUUGCUAACGACUAGAAGACUUAUUCAACAGAUAUUUAACAUUCCCUCCCGUAAACUGAAUUAUCCCAUGCAUUUAGUUUACAUUUGUUACGACUCCCAUCCUGUCUCGCAUUCUUAUAAAGUCUUCCAACUUGAGUGGCUUGGUCAUGACAUCUGCUACUUGUUCUUGUGGACUGCAAUGUAGUAGCUCAACCAUUCCGUUCCUUGUAAGUUCCCUCAGGAAGUGGAAGCGUAUGUCUAUGUGCUUACUUCUCCCAUGCAGAACUGGAUUCCUUGACAAUUUGAUAGUUGAGCUAUUAUCACAGUAGAUAGCUGUGGGAUUUAUUUGAUUUCUUCCUACAGUUUCAAGUAUCCUUCUGAGCCAUACUGCCUGACAUGAGCUUUCUGCUGCGGCUAUAAAUUCUACUUCAGUGGUUGAUAGACUCACCACAGGCCGCUUCUUUGAGAUCCAUAAGAUAGCAGCCUCACUCAGCAUAAACACAUAGCCAGAUGUGCUUUUCCUGUCUUCAACAUCACUGGCAUAGUCACUAUUUGUGUAGCCCACCAGUUCUCUUCCUCUAUUUCUCUGAUAGAACAGUCCAUAUUCACUUGUUUCUUUGAGGUAGCGAAUGAUUCGCUUUACUGCUUGGAAAUGAAGCUCCUUGGGAUUAUCCAUGAAUCGGCUAACUUGACUCACACUAUACAUGAUAUCUGGUCUCGUGGCAGUGGCAUACAUUAGGCUCCGACCAUCUGAUUGUAGAGCGUCUUGUCUACUCUUUUCCCGUCUUCAUCCUUGCUUAGUUUACCUCCUGGAACCAUUGGAUUAUGGAUUGAUUUCAAGUUUUCCAUCCCAAAUCUCUGUAGAAGACCUGCCAUGUACUUCUUUUGACACACAAAGAUACCAUCAUCCUUCUAUGUUGCUUCAAGACCGAGGAAAAACUUCAUUUUUCCCAAGUCGGUCAUAGCAAACUCCAGUUUCAUAGACCUCUUGAACUCCAUCAUCAACUUAUCAUCAUUCCCUGCGUAAAUCAAAUCAUCCACAUACAAACUUACGACCAGGAUACUUGUCUUCUCCACCUUAGUAAAUAAUGUGGGUUUGUAUUCAUAUUUUUCAAACCCAUGGCUGGGAAAAUACCCUUCAAUGCGACUGUACCAAGCCCGAGGGGCCUGUUUUAAUCCAUAUAGAGCACGUUUCAGCUUGUAUACUUUACCUUCUUCCCCUUUCUGCUCAAAUUCCUAUGGUUGUUCGAUAUAGACAUCUUCGGUUAAUUUCCCAUGUAGGAAGGCAGAUUUUACAUCCAAUUGAUAGAUGGGCCAUACAUGGUGAGCAGCUACGGCACUGACUAGCCGAAUAGUCUCCAUGCGAGCUACUGGAGCUAACACCUCCAUAUAAUCUACACCAUGCUCUUGAAUAUAUUUUCGGACCAUCAAUCGUGCCUUGUAUUUGCUGACCUCUCUAUUCUCAUCACGCUUAGUUUUGAAGAUCCACUUGACUUCAAUCCUUUUAGCCCCAGCUGGGAGAUCAAUUAAAAACCACAUACCAUUCUGUUCUAUAGUUUCAAUUUCUUCUUGCAUGGCUUUCCUCCAUAUAGGAUUUUUUUCAGCUUCUUCAAAAUGGACAGGAUCAUCUCCCCCGCUGUCAGUGAGGUGUAAUUCAAGGUCUUCUUCAGAUAGCUCUUCACCUGUGAAAUAAUCCUGCAUCCAUGUUGGUGAAGUCCGUUGCCUUGUUGAGGGAGGACGCUGCGAUAUGGUGGGUGGAAGCUACGAUUCUGGAGCUUCCUCCUACUGCUGUGCCUCGUCUUUUUCUGUUUCCUGCUCCUGAUUAUCGCACAUUUCGCCAUUACUUUCAUUCCAAUCCAAAUCAGCUGCAAUCGAUGGUGCGCAUUCUCCUUCCCAAUUCUAGCAUCUGUCCUCUUCAAAUACAACAUCCCGACUAACAAUUAUCUUUCUGCUGAUCAAAGAGUCGGUAAGCCUUGGAUGCUUCACUGAGCCCAAUAGAACACAGGUUGUACUUCGUUGACCCAAUUUCCCUCGAGUGUUAUCUGCCACAUGCACAUGGGCUAUACAUCCGAAAACUUUAAAAUAUCCAACUGAAGGUUUUUGUCCACUCCAAACUUUCUCUGGUGUCUUGUUCUUCACUGCAAGCGUCGGACUCCUGUUGAGAAUGUGUAUUGCCCAAUUAACAGCUUCUGGCCAAAACAUUUUUGGGAUAUUUUUCCCAAACAUCAUGCUUCGAACCAUAUUCAUAAUGGUACGAUUCUUUCGCUCGGCAAUGCCAUUCUGCUGUGGUGAAUAUGCAGAGUAAGCUGCCUUUUUAUCCCAUGUUCAACACAGAAAUUUAAGAAUGCUGAUAAGGUGAACUCGCCACCACGAUCUGUACGCAGACCUUUAAUUGGCAGUCCUGCUUCAUGUUUAACUUUGAUUUUGAACUCCUUGAAGAUUACAAAUGCUUCAGAUUUUUCAUGCAAGAAAUACACCCAUGUCUUUGGGCUGCAAUCGUCGAUGAAGGUGAUGAAGUAUCUCUUGUUGCUGUUUGAGAUUGGUUGAAUGGGACCACAUAAAUCGGAGUGAAUCAAUUGUAGUGGCAGCUCUGCUCUCCAUGUACUCUUCUUAGGAAAGGGAUCCCGGUGUUGUUUCCCAAAUAGACAGUCUUUGCACACUCUUGAUGGUUUUGUUAGUUGCGGUAGCCCCAACACCAUCUCCUGCUGUUGUAGCAUGUAGAGACCCUUGAAACUCAAGUGACCAUAUCGGCAGUGCCAUAGUUGGCCAAUAUCUUCCGUUAUCGUAUUGAAGCAAGUCGUUCCUGUUGGUAGAGGCACUGCUACAACCUUGAACAUGCAAUUGAAGGACAUGGCUGAUUCCAUAAUAACAGCUCUCUCAGGAUGAUAUACUUUACAACUGUUGCAUUGAAUAAGCACGGCUAGACCCUUCUCUUGGAGCUGUCCGAUACUUAGCAAGUUGUUUUUCAAUUCAGGCACAAAAAAUACUUCUGUUAUAACCUGAACUUGAUUGUUGAUUUGCAAUUGUACAUUUCCUUUUCCUUUUACCACCAAAUUUGCAUUGUUCCCGAGCUUCACGUUAUCAGAGAAUUGCUCAUUAAAAUCUGCAAAAUAUUCCUUUCGAUUGCACAUGUGAUUGCUGCAGCCAGAGUCUAGGAACCAAACAUCACUCUUGAAUUGUUUGUCUUCAACCUGGGCCAUCAGUAGCAUCUCUUCAGAAACUUCUGUAUGGUUGCUUUCCUUGCUUUGACAUUCCCACUGGAAGUGCCCUAACUUAUGGCAGUUGUAGCACUCGAUAGUGGAUUUGUCAAAGAUUGUCCUUUCGCGUCCACAUUCUCGUCCUCGAUAGCCUCCACGACCUCGGCCUCGAUUUGCAGUCCCCUCGUGAGUCACCUUCAAGGCUUGUUCCUCGUCCAAGCUGCUCAUCCUUUGCUCAUACACGAGCAAACUGCUUUGCAGUUCAUCUAUAGAUAUGUUGCUGGUGUCUUGUGCUUCCUCAAUGGAGCAGACCACGUAAUUGAAUUUCGGAGUCAUAGAUCGCAGGAUUUUCUCCACGACUGCUGUGUCGCCUUUGUUUCACCGUUGGCCUUCAUCUUGUUUGCAAUCGUAAGUGUUCGUGCAAAGUAUUCAUUCACCGUCUCUCCAGUCUUCAUGUGAAGUGUCUCAAAUUCCUUCCUCAAAGCCUGGAGUUGCGCUCUCUUAACGCACGUUGAACCUUGAUACUUCUGCUUUACAGAGUCCCAUAUGUCCUUGGACGUGUCUUUCUUGAGGAUUGUCUCAAGAAUGGAUGGAUCCAAGGCUUGGAAGAAAUAAUUCUUCACCUUCAGGUCCUUUAGUUUCUGUUCAUCUAUUUGGCGCUGCUGCUCCUCUGUGAUUGCCUUUCCAGCAAGUACUGCUGGUACACAUUUUUCCACCAAGUGCCAGUAUUCUUUUGACCUUAGGAAAUUCUCCAUCAGCAUUGCCCAAUGGUCAUAGUGUCCAUCGAACUUGGGAAUUGAAGGUUGCACGAACAUACUUUCAGUUGCCAUCACUCUUUCUCACUCAAUGUUUACCUAGCUGCUGCUAUGACGUAUCAGGCCUGAACUAGGCUCUAGUAUCAGAAUGUUAGGAAGAUAGCCUUACGUAACUGAACUGUAUGUGUUUGAGGGAAUUGAGUGUCUUAUUCAUGUGCCAGAUAAACAUAUAAAUAGGAGAACUUACAACUGCAAAUCCUAAAAAGAUGGCAAAUCAAUAUCUAAACUACUCUGCUGAUCCCCAGCAACUACACGGCUAGAACUAAGGAAACAAACCUCCAAUACUGCUAACGACUAGAAGACUUAUUCAAUAGAUAUCUAACACAUUUACGAGUGUAUUGAGGGAAAUGGAGAGAUUUUCCAAUAUAGAGGAGCCACUGGUAGGUGCUCGAGAUAAGGGUGGAGGGUGGCGGUCCAGUGGUGGGGAGGGAAGAGAUGGGUUGUAUUGGAGAAUUGUGGGGAUAUAUUUUGAGGUGUUUUUUGUGAGUGUUAUUGUAAAUUUGUAUUCCAAAUACAAUUUUUUGGCCAUGCAGGCCCAUUGUCUAACAAGCAUAAAUUUAAGCCAUUUAAGCUUCUUUUACUGACUUGUUUUAAUUCAAAUAAUUUCAUAUUUUUUAUACUUAUGUUUGAAGUCUGUACAAUGUAACUCUAAGAAAUGCAAUCUUUGUGGGCAUUCUUUGAAUUCUGAGUACGAUAAUUACUUAUUUCAUUUUUUUUUGGAAAAAUUUGCAUAUGAAAUACUUGAUUAAAGAAGAUAGGGAAACAAGAGAAGAUGGAGAAUUUUACACACACACACACACAUAUAUAUAUAUAAAGAUGUUUAUUUUAGGGUCUGUAAGCAAAAAAGAAAUUUUUUUGUAUGUUUUUUAUGGUUAUUUAAGAUGUACAAGUAAAAAGCAUUUAUCGUAUAUGUUUUAUUUUUAAUCGUGGCUGGCAAACUAUUGAUUUGGAAUAUUUUCAGUGACUAAAAGGUGUGAAAUUGAAAGAGAAUGUUUUUCUAUAUGGAGCAAGAAGAAGAAACCGAAAGAGUAUGUCUUAAAACUUAUUUAAUCAGGAGAAGUAAAUAUAAUAAGAGUACUGCCUGUAAGAUAGCUUGCAAGGAUGAAACUCCCUGUGACUGUAAUUUUGACCAUAAAAGAGCAAAUUAUUCGGAUGACCACUGAAUUUUCGGAAUCGUUGAGUUUUAACCACUGAACUAUUAAAAGUUUGGUUUUGAUCACUAAACUAUCUAAAGUUUAAAUUUUAGGUCAUUCCGUCAAAUUUAAUCGUUAACUAUACCUCUUUCUUUUGUCUCGUGAAUCUUGCAAACACUCAAAUCUGUCAUGUUUAACAAUUAAAUCUAACGGAAUGGCUCGAUAUCUAAACUUUAGAUAGUUCGGUAGUUAAAACCAAACUUUUAAUAGUUUAAUGGUCAAAACUCAACGAUUCUAAAAGUUUGAUGGUCAUCCAGAUAAUUUGCUCACCAUAAAAUGCACAAGGAUGGAUAUCACCGAGAAGAGAUUGCCUAUUGCCCUUUUGAAUAGAUAGGUUCAAAUUAUUUUUCUCUAGACAACCUAAAAUAGAAGAGUUAUUAUCACUUUACCCCCCCUAAGUUUUAUAGCUACUAUCAGUUUAUCCCCUAAUAUUAUCUUUUAAUCAGUUUACCUCCAAAUAGCAUUAUAUGAUUUAGAUGAGAUGACAUAUGUAGUCCAAAAUAAUAGUUGAUGACAAGAAUGCCCAUUUGUUCCAAAAUUGCACUGGGCAGGAAAAAGACAAGUUACAUAGGAAAAUAAAAGUUUACACUCACGAAAAAGUUAAGAUGAUUUUUUUACACUUAUGAAAAAGUUUAGAUAGGUCUAGAAAAAUUUCAUAUUAUAACCUUAUAACUAAAGCAGCCAAGAAAUUAAGAGAAGAAACAAGAAAUAAAGAAAAAAGGAAUUAAAAAAUUAAGGGAUCUGUGAAAAAGGGUUGAAACCCCACUCCGUGUACGGGGUUUAAAAAUAAAUAAUAAUAAUAAUAAUAAUGACGGUAACCUUUUUUUCUCUAAAAAAAGGUAAAAUGAAAAACCACAUGCAUAACAUAGAACUUGUUAAUUAAUUGAUAAAUUUUGAGCAAAUUAAAAGGUCUUAAAUAGAAAUUAAGUGCACUUUAGCUUUAUAAAGAAGAAGAAAAAUUACGAUUGUAAUAUAUGGUAUAAUAAAUAGGUAGAUAAAAUGAUAUUUCAUCUUAUGAUAUUUUCUUGAGAAUAAAAUGAGAAACUAGAAAGGAAAGAGGAAAAUCCAAAAUUAAAAAAAUUGAAAGGCUAAAAAAUUGUAUUUUAGGAAAGUGAUUUGAAUAUUUUUUAAUCAUUUAAGGAGAAGAUAGAUUUCUGCAAUUCAUCUUUUUUAAUUUCAAUCAUUAAGGUGAAAAUUUUUGUGGAAAAGAGGAAGAAUUAAAUAAAAAGGAAAGAGAAAAAGAAAUAAAAGAAAGGAAAACAAGGUAAAUGAAAAGUCAAAAUAAUGCAAAGGCAAUUUUGUCCUAAAGGGGGUUAAAUGAGCAAAAUUAAAGGUUAGGAGGUAAACUGAGAAAUGAGAUAUUCUUUAAGGGGAUAAAAUGUGAUUAACCCUCUCCUACCUUCCGCCAUUCCCUACCUCACUUUCUUCCCUCCCCCCUCUCCCCCAACCACCUCCAUUUUCUCCCUUCCCCUCUCCUCUCCUCUCCUAUCCUCUCCUACACUCUCCACCACCUCCCAUGCCCCCAUCCUCCCUCUCUGGUACCCCCCUCACUAUACCUUGCCCUCCUUCUCCAUCUCAGAUCUAGUUGACCAGAUCUAAAAAGGAGAGGUGGUGGGAGAGGGGAAAUAGAGGAGGGGAGGAGUGGUGAGAGGGAGUGUAUGAGAGGAGAGGAAAGGAGCUGGGGAGAAGAAGGUUGGAGGAAGAGGGAAAGAGACAGGAGGUGGCCCAAGGAGGGGGUGAGGCAGUAGGGGAAAAGUGACAUGGUGGGGGAGGAGUAGGGAGGAGGAGAGGAGGAGAGGAUGUGGAAUAGUAAGUAAUUAUAAGCAUACUUGAAAAAUUUUUUAAUUUUAAAAACAUUCUAAUGUAUAAGUGUGCAGUAAAGCUUUUAAUAUACAAUGCUAUGGUGUAAUUUUAAAACAUACCCCAAAAUAUAUAUAAUUCAUACAAACCCUUAGUGAAUAUUAACUUGCAUGCAAGAAAUAUAAGUUAUUUUGGCAGAAAGAGGUUUGAGGGUGGGGAUAAAUGUAUCUUUCAUUUAGUUAAUUUAUCUGUUGGCAUUGAAUAAAUGGUUGCGACUUUGUUUUAGCAAUUAAAUAUUGUGAUGAAGACCAAGACUAAAAUAUCUGAAGUUCGGAUGCGAAGGCCUGUUUUUGUACAUAGCACCAUAAAUAUCCCAAAUUGAUCAAUCAUCCCCUUCCAUAAAUGAACGUGAAACAAGUUUCUAAAUCGUUUUCAUGUACAGUGCUGGCUCUUAAUUUGCUUUACUAAUGAGCCCAUUAGAAAUACUUCAAGGCCAGUCAUAAUCUAAUCUAAAUUAGAUGAAUUGACAAUUCUUAAACUAAUUGUUUGGUAUACCUUUUCGGUCGGUGGAAGCCCUAACCGUCCUACGCUUAAAAUAAAGGGACACAAUAUAUUUGAAGUGAUAAUUUAUGUCGUAGAAUAUAUUUAAUUUUGGCCAAACUUUUCUGAAUUGAAAAUUUUAUCUUAAAACAUGAGACUCUUGAUCACACAAAGAAAGAAAAGUAACCUCAAAUUAUGGCAUAAAAAAAAAAAAGAGUUCACAUCACACUAAACUAUAGCUGCUUCCAUAUUGGAGAAGUAGAAUAAUUUUCUAUGUUCAUGUAGUCCUAUGGCUGAUAUUGAAUUAAUUGAUUUCUUGCUGAGGUUUACAAGUUCAGAUAAGUUUAUCUCUAGCAAUAAUUUGCUGAUUCAAACUGAAAAUAUUGGAUUAAUUUGCUAUACAUUAAUAAUAUAUACAUUUUCCUCGUUUGAUGCAUGACAUGUAAUUUAAAUUUGAAUUUGAAACAUAAAUUUUGUAUGUGUAUCAUACAUCCAACUGUGAUAAUGUAUACACUGUCAGUGUAUAUAAGAUUAAUUCAAAAAGUUAUAUAUGUCAAAACAAAUUGUAUGGUUCGAAGAUGUACAUUUGAACAAGAAUAAUAUUAAGCUUGACACAAUCAUUCGAAUUUUUAAGCUAACAGUCCGUUGACCACAUAAGAUAUCAAUUUUGAUGGUGAAAUCGAGUCAUACAUGUCCUUAAGCUUUGGGCAUGCUGAGCACCCAUCAAAAAAAAAAAAUUAGGAUCAAAGGAAAUAGAAUAUCAAAACAGAAAAUAGACAUAAAAGAAACAUGGAGUUUAAGUAUACAAUCCAUUAUCAAACAUGAGAUUCAUGGAAUUAACUUUCACUGACAUAAUUUCAGUAUGAAGCCAUUUUCAUGCAGAUUAUCUAAACUUUAAGUCCACAUCCGAAAUUAAAUGGUUUGGACUUUUCAGCAGGAUUUCCUCUUUUUUUUUUCUGUGGAAAGUUCCAUGGUCACUAUUAACUUAUAUUACAGUAUUAAAUUAGUGGAUUUUCUGUUGAGCUCAAUUUCUGACCAUCACCUUCUAGAGAAAAGGAGGGUUUAUGAGAAAGACGGGGCAACUGUAAUAAAAACUUCAAAAAAAAAAAGAAGAAAUUAUGCGGAUUUGAUAUGGUCAGCAUAAAAAAUUAUAAACUAAACCUUCUUCACCAUAGCUGAUUAGAUCCAAAUUCAGCUGUCAAUAUAGGCUAGCGCCUGCGAUAUUUGCUGAUAAAUUUAAAGGUUAAUUCCACUUUGCACCUUUAAAUUAUACAUAAAUUCUAAUUUUAGUGCCUAAACUAUAAAAUGGACAUUUUAAUUCUUAAAAUUUUAAAUUUGUCUCAGUUAAGCAAAAUCAUUAAUAGAAACUGAGACAAAUUUAUAUUUAAGUAGGAUAACUUUUAUACUUUAAUAACUGAAAUAUAAGAUUUCAUACUUUUAAAAAUUGAAGCAGGAUAGCUUUUAUAAUUUAAGGACUAAAGUCGGAUGGUCUUAAAAUGGGACACAUUUUAUAUUUUCAGAGACUAAAAUAUCUCAUUUUAAGUUUAGGGACCAAAGUGCAAAUUCAAGUAUAAUAGAAGGGUGAAAAGUGAAAUAAAUCCUAAACUUAUUUAUUUAGUGAACUUUUUGUCAUAUAUUUGCAAUGGCACGUGGAUUUGACAUACAUCUUUGGCAUGAUGAAGUAAUCCCAUCCAUAAUUAUUGUCUUAAAUAAAUGAAAUCAACUUUGAAGUAACAAAAACGCACGCAAUCAGUGCCACAUAGUUGGCGACACGUGUGAACUAAGUACACUUUUAUCUGAAUCAUCAUGCUUCAAUGGGGGGAAAAAUAGAGGACCAUUGCAUGCCCCAAGUCAAGAAGUUGCAAGGUAAACGUUGUUGACCUAAUGAAGAUUAGACAGCUCAAUUUGACUUUUAAUUAUAAAAAACCAAGCCAGCUUUUAUGACAAUAGUGAAAUAUCAUCUUCUCCUUUAAUGACAGCUGAAUCACAGAAAGAAACUAAGAAAGUACUUCAACGAAAAGUUUCAAGUAUCCUUCGCUAAAUUUUUUUCCUUUAGUGGUCCAGUUUAGUUCGAUUUGGAUUCCUAAAAGCCAAUAUUAAGAAUCACAACCGGUAAAAACCUAAUAACUCUAUUGAAAAAUGGAAAGAAAAAAAAUUAUUAACUACCAAUUUCAUGUUAAAGAUUAAAAAUUUGAGGUUCUAAUGUCCAUUGUCCAAGUUGACAAACGAGUAGAAGAUUGCAUGUAUGUGUAGAGGAAGGGAUGGGGCAGGUGGCUCAAGGAGAGAAUGUAAGUGAGAGAUUUCAAAUUCAAACCUUUUCACUUAUGGUAUAAAAAAAAAAAAAGAUUGUAUGUAUUGAAAGGUUUACCAUGCCUUUCCUUCUAAUUAAUUGCACAGUAUUAAGCACCAUUCACCAGCCUUUUCCUCAAUUGCUUUUUUUUUUUUUCUGAGUAAUUGAACUUCCAUUUUUCUCAAGUAAGCUUCACAAAUUCCAUAACAUGUCAAUUUAGCUCUCUAGAGAUUAUAUAUAUAGUGAAAAGGGUAGAGUAAAAGAUUGGAAUUGGUUUUUAGGGACGUUUCAUAGACGGUUUGCGGUAGCUAGUAUGCUGGAAAUUUGUUUAAAGUACUUGAUUCAUUUUAAAUCAAUGACAGUUAUGUUUAAUCGAUAAAUACAAACAUGAUGGCUCCUAAAUUUCAAGUGGUGGACCACCUUUUAGCCAUAUAAAACUUACGUUAAUUUUUCAAAUGAAAAAAGUAAAAGCUUAAUGACUACGAUGCAUCCAAAGAAAGAUUUAUAGGGUCCUUACCACUAAUUCAUUAAUCUGUUUAAAACGAAUAUUCUAUCUUCUAUGCUUUCUAAUUACCCAUUUUUUGCUUCCCACAUAUCCUUAGCCUUCUCUUUGCUUUAUAAAAGACAUUCAAAAAAGUUAAAAUAAAAAAGGAAAAAAAAAGAGAUAAAAAAUUGUGACUUUAUUUUAGUGAUAAAAUAUCAGAUAUUGAUCAUUUUUCACCUUCAAUAAGUGAAUGUGGAACAACUUUCAAAUAGUUUUCGUAUGCUAUACUGGUUCUUAAUUGCUUUAUUAUAAGUCUGUUAAAAGUUAGAUGAAUUGACGAGCCAAUCAAUUCAUGCAUAUUCCAACUGAGUCCCUUCUCUAAUGUAGAUGAAUUGAUGUUAUCAUGAAUGAGAAAUAUUGGACGUCAAUUCCUAUUAUAAUAAACGUUCUUUUCUCAUUUGAUAUCUUAUAUUGCCGGUCGCAUCCCCAUCCGAGAAAACCUGGGUCACGCAAUCCAUAGUAAUGGAUCGAUAUCGUUAAUUUUUUUAAACAAAUGAAAAGAUGGGAUUUAAGAGAUGGAACACGUAAACGAUACUGUUAAUUUUUAAGUAAUAAAUUAUAAAAGGAUGGAAUUUAAAAUACCAUACUGUUCAUUUUUAAGCAUUGAAAGGAUGGAAUUUAAAAAAAGGACGGAGGAAGGGAAAUUUGAAUUUUGAGAUUUCAACGUGAUUAUGAGAUUUUAAAUUUCAUCACUGGAUCAAAACCUUCUCAAUAUCUAUAUCUAUAUAUAUUGCAGAAGGGGUUUUUAGCAGAGACCCUCUCUGCUAAAAACUGUUUAUACUUUGUUAUUUAUACUUUAAAUCCUUUUUACUCCUUAAUUAAAGACAAAUGCUCAUUCGUAUGCUAUUUUAAUACAAUGUUACAUUUUUAUAAUUAAUAAAUAUUUAGCCCCAUACUAACCCUAUAACCACCCCUACAAAUGAGCUUUGCAAAUUACAAUCACGUUUCAAAAAAAUCACAAAUGUGCAACUAAAUGUAAAGUUGAGGGGGUAAAGUGCAACUAAAUAUAAAGUUAAGGGGUUUACUAUAUUUAAUCCUAAAAAAAAUCCCAAUAACGGAACAAGUAGUGGGUUAUAGAUUUUUGUCUAGAUUUUUGUUUUUAUUUUAAUACAUAAAAAGUAGUGGGUUAUAACCAACUCUAUCACCAAUCAAAUUUAAAAUUUAAAACAUUUCUACUAUCUACUUCAUAAACCAUUUAUACUUUGUUAUUUAUACUUUAAAUCCUUUUUACUCCUUAAUUAAAGACAAAUGCUCAUUCGUAUGCUAUUUUAAUACAAUGUUACAUUUUUAUAAUUAUGAAAUAUUUAUUCCCAAACUAACCCCAUAACCACCCCUACAAAUGAGCUUUGCAAAUUACAAUCACGUUUCAAAAAAAUCAUAAAUGUGCAACUAAAAGCAAAGUGCAACUGAAUGUAAAGUUGAUGGGGGUAAAGUGCAGCUAAAUGUAAAGUUAGGGGGCUUACUCUAUUUAACCCUAAAAAAAUCCCAAGGACGGAACAAGUAGUGGGUUAUAGAUUUUUGUAUUUAUUUUAAUACAUAAAAAGUAGUGGGUUAUAACCAACCCUAUCACCAAUCAAAUUUAAAAUUUAAAACUUUCCCAUAAUCUACUUCAUAAAUCGUUAAAUAUAUUUAUACUUUAAAUCCUUUUUAUACUAUUGUAUUUAUUUAUACUUAAAAUCCUUUUUACUCCUUAAUUAAAGACAAAUGCUCAUUCACAUGCUAUUUUAAUACAAAUUUAAUUCGGAAGCAUACAACAUGAUCAAGAAACAGCAGAACCAAUUAAGACUAGAUUUUGACCCCCAAAAAAAUAUUAUGCCUAGAUGCCACUGGCACGUUGCCGUAACUUGCGAUGCCAAUUAGGACUAUUUAGCGUCCUUUUUUUGCAAGGAAAUAGGGCACUGUAAAGCUUAUUUAGGCAAACUUUACCUCAUCACUGUACAGUGUUACAUCUCAAAACAAAUAUACGGGUGAUGGGUUCGAAUCUUUCUCAAAAUAUGCGUCGACAAUUAACAUGGUUUGCAAAUUGGUUGCUAUCAAUUGGUGAGGGAAAGGUACGAGAAAUUUCACUUACAGAAUUUGGGGAAGCAAAUUAGAUACAGACACCAUCUCAAUUUCUCAUAAAAAUGACAGUGAAUCUUUUACAAAGUUAGUAAAUUCUGUCUAUCCUAAUUUGAGAAAUUCAUAUAAUGAUAGCAGUUAUCUCAAAGAACGUGCUAUUUUGGUUCCAGAAAAUUAUGAUGUUGAUAAAUUAAAUGACAGGUUGAUGGCAAUGCUUCUUGGUCAAUUCCGUGUAUACAUGAGUGCUAAUACUUUUUGUGCCACUGAAGGAGACAUUGUUGAAAACAUGAAUUCUGCUGAAGUUCUGAAUUCAUUGAAUUUUCCUGAACUUCCAAAUCAUCAUUUGGAAUUGAAAAAAGGAGCACCCAUAAUUCUUUUGAGAAAUCUUAAUCAGUCGGAGGGUCUUUGCAAUGGAACUCGACUUAUCAUUACCAGACUGGGAGAUAAAGUUAUCGAAGCAGAAGUUAUGACAGGAUCCAAUGUUGGAGAUUUAGUACUAAUAUCUCGAAUCUCUUUAACACCUCAGAAUAUACGCACUCCUUUCCCAAUUAAAAGGAGGCAAUUUCCAGUGAAAGUAGCAUUUGCAAUGACUAUUAACAAAAGUCAAGGUCAAACAUUGAGCAAUGUUGGUGUUUACCUUCCUGAACGUACUUUUUCUCAUGGUCAACUUUAUGUUGCUCUUUUCCGUGCUACUUCUCCAUUUGGAUUGAAAAUACUCACUAUUAAUAGAGAUAGUGAUCCAUGGAACUACACAAAGAAUAUUGUAUAUCGAGAGGUUUUUGAGAAUCUUUCAUAAAUUAUACACAUCAUUUUAUAAUAAAAAUUUGUCAUGUAUAUUUUAUGUAUUGUAAAAAAAUGACACUUUCAUAUUUAUCUUUCACAUUUACAUUUUAUUUCACUGUCUAUGUCAACUAUAGCUUUUAAAUAAUUAAUCAGUAUGUUAUUUAAUAUUUACAGAUAUUCGAUAUACACAUCUGAUUUCUCUGGACCUUCAAUGAUGUACAUGGAAUGUAAAUGUUAGAUUAUUUAGAUUGAUUGAUAUGACGAUAUCUGGAGUACAUCAGCGUUCCAGGUGCAUCAAAAUGCUUUUUAUUGAUGAUCAUGUAAUUAUUCAAAUCAUAUCUUACUAAUUAUGUUGAUUUUUAAUAUUUACUAAUUUUUGAAAAAUUUAUCAGAAAUUUGUCAUGCAAGGAAUAAUAAGAGGCAGUAGCAUGCUUAGUAUUUUUGGAGAAUACCUCCAUGAAGGUAAGAUAUAUUUAUUUUAGAAUAUACAUGUAAUCCCAGCAUAUACCAAGUACCGGAUUGCACCACAUCAGUACCAGUUGUCAUUUGAAAAUGAUACAAAAAAAGUGAAAAUUUUAGAUGACUGUGCAAUCAUCCCCCGUUUCAAGUUCAAUUUGGUCAAAUUGAAACACAUAGAACAAUACAUGAAUAAUGAUCUGCAAUUGAUAGGUACGACCUUACAAUUAAUAUCAUUUUUAUUAAAUUUCUGCAUUUCAAAUUUUAUUAAUUAAAAUUUUUUAUUUAGUACAGAUGUGAUUGGCUUAGUUAGAUCUGUUGGUCCAUACUAUAAGGCAUCUGCUAAUAACAAAAUUGGUCGUGAGAUGCUAUUGGUUGACAAAAGGUUAGUUAACAAAUCCCGACUUCUUUAAGAUUUUUUAUUUUUAGAGAAUUUAGAUUUGCACAUAACAAAAUUUUGUUAUCACAGUUUGACAGUAGCUCGAUUCAUAUUGUGGGAUAAAUUUUCUAAUGAUGAUGGUGAACGGUUAUAUCAGUCUGCUACAUAAAAUAAUAUUUUACUAGUAUGUGGUAUUUGUGUACGAAAUUUCAGAGGUAAAUCAAAUGUUUUUACUUAUACUCUAUAUAAUUUGAAUAAUUUUUAGCGAAUACUAUGCAGGACCAUCACUUUUUACAAUUGGAGCUAACAAAUUAUAUAUCAAUCACAAUUUAGAUUUUGCUCGAUACUUGCACAGUUGGUGAGUUACAUUAGUAACACUACAUCAAACUUUUAAUGUUGUUUCAUACUCUUACCAACAUAUAUUUCAAAAAAUUAUAGGUUUGAAAAUGAUACAUGUACUCGAAGGUUAGUUACGUGGUUGAGGUCAAGCAAUUUUACAACAUCACAAGUAUUGUUGAUAGCAAAUUCAAAGAGAAUAUGGAUAUCCGAAUAUACAAUUAUGCAUACGGUAAACUUAUUCUAUUUAAUUUAAUUACUGCACAUUUUUUUUAAAUUUAUAAUCAUAACAUAUACCUUCUUUCAUUCUUAUUAGGUUAAAUAUUUUCAAAUACUUACUUACAUUCAGAGCAUUAACAUAGAAAACAUGUUCUAUGAGUUAUGCAAAAAUUGUGGACAACUAUGCGAAGGUCAUUUUUCAAAAAUAGUGUACAUGCAUUGUAAUGACGUGGUCGACACCGUUGUUAGGUAAUUAAUUUCAUGUACCUUUAAUUUCAAUAUAUUUUUCUGUAUUGUAUAUAACAUUUUAUUUAUCAAACAGGUACAAUGUUAACAUACAAAUUAAAGAUUCCAGUGGUAACAUGCAUCUUAAUCUAUAUGACAGACAUGCACAAUUCACAUUUGGUUGUGAUGCUUCUUAUCUUAGAAUUUCUUGAUAUAUAUUUAUUUUUAUAAUGCUAUUUAUAAACUAUGUAAAAAAAAUACACUAAUUUUGAAUUUCGCACGUAUUUAAUUCUCAGGACAAUGGUGAUAGGUUGUUCAACCAAUGAAUCAAUUCAAACAAAGAUCGUGCAUUUUCAUUUGUAGUACGCACUUCACAAAAUUCAACAGAAUUAAUUAAAUCACCAAUUUUGGCAUUCGUACUAAAAGUUGAUUGGUGUGAAGAGUGUUCGCAUCUUCAUGCAAGAUUAUCAAAUCAAAUGCAUAAUAUUUGUAAGUAUUUCAUUUUAACAACAUUUAAUUACAUUUAUUUUUAUUCAUAUAUCAUUCAUUUUCUAAUAUAAAUUUCAAUUAUUUUUUCAGGAUCUAUUUUCCAAAAAACGGAAGUUUUUGAAUGAUAUACAAAUUCCAUCAUAUUUCAAACUAUUGUUAGACAAAUAUUACAUUUUAAUUAUGUUGGUAUAAUCUUUUAACCUUUUUAAAUUCACCCUUUUAUUUUCAUUUUUUCAAUAAUGUCAGCACCAUGCAUAGUACGGGUAUUCACACUAGUGUAUAUGUAUACUAACUAACUAAAAAUUGCUCAACCCUAGCGAAACUAACUAAUCACUAAUAUGUAUUACAAAAGGGGGUUUUUAGCAGAGAACCUCUCAAUGACUUCCAAACUUCUCAUUCUUUUUUCUAGAUUUUUGUAUUUAUUUUAAUACAUAAAAAGUAGUGGGUUAUAACCAAUCCUAUCACUAGUCCAAUUUAAAAUUUAAAACUUUCUCACUAUCUCUUACCUCAUCCUACAACCACUCCUACAAAUCCUCUACUCAUCAUCCCACGUCUCCCCUACAUUUCCUCCCACGUUUCCCACUCCAAUCUAUAUCUAUAUCUAUAUGUAUUGCAGAGGGGUUUUUAGCAGAGAGCUAAGUGACUUAUCAUGUCUCACCAAUUUUGUUUCAGAAUAUACAUGUAAUCCCAGUAGAUGCCAAGUACCGGAUUGCACCACAUCAGUUCCAGUUGUCAUUUGAGAAUGAUACAAAAAUAGUGAAGAUUUUAGAUAAUUGUGCAAUCAUCCCCGGUUUCAAGUUCAAUUUGAGACAUAUAUAAUAGUACAUGGAUAACGAUCUGCAAUUGAUAGGUACGUCCUCACAAUUAAUAUCAUUUUUAUUAUAGUUUUACAAAUCAAUUGCUAUUAAUUAAAAUUUUUUAUUUAUUACAGAUGUAAUUGGUUUAGUUAUAUCUGUUGGUCCAUACUAUCAGAUAUCUACUAAUAACAAAAUUGGUCGGGAGAUAUUAUUGGUUGACAAAAGGUUAGUUAACAAAUCUCGACAUCUUUAAAACUUUUUAUUUUUACAGAAUUUAGAUUUGCACUUAUCAAAAUUUUGUUAACACAGUUUGACAGUAGCUCAAUUCAUAUUGUGGGAUAAAUUUGCUAAUGAUGAUGGUGAACGGUUAUAUCAAUCUGCCACAAAAAAUAAUAUUUUAAUAGCAUGUGGUAUUUGCGUACGAAAUUUCAGAGGUAAAUCAAUUGCUUUUAGUUAUAUUCUAUAUAAUUUGAAUAGCUUUUGAGCGAACAUAACCAUACUAUGCAGGAUCAUCACUGUGUACAAUUGGAACUAGCAAAUUGUAUAUUAAUCACAAUUUAGAUUUUGCUCGAUACCUGCGCAGUUGAUGGGUUCUUCAAUAACACUAUACCAAACUAUUAAUAUUGUUUCAUACUCUUAUUGACAUGUAUUUCAAAAAAAUGCAGGUUUGAAAAUAAUACAUGUGCCCGCAAGUUAGUCACGUGGCUGAGAUCAAGCAAUUUCACAACACCACAAGCACUGUUGAUAGCAAAUUCAAAGAGAAUAUGGAUAUCUGAAUAUACAAUUAUGUCUACGGUAAGCUAACUCAAUUUUAAUUAAUUACUGAACGAAUUUUUUAAAAUUUAUAAUCAUAACCUAUAUCUUCUUUCAUUCUUAUUAGGUUAAAUAUUUUCAAAUACUUGCUUACAUUCAAAACAUUAACAUAGAAAAUAUGUUCUACGAGCUAUGCAAAAAUUGUGGACAAGUAUGUGAAGGUCAUUUUUCAAAAACAGUGUAUAUGCAUUGUAAUGACGUGGUUGACACUGUUAUUAGAUAAUUAAUUUCAUAUAUACUUAAUUUCAAUACAUUUUUCUGUAAUUGUAUAUAAUAUUUUAUUUGUCAAACAGGUACAAUGUUAACAUACAAAUCAGAGAUUCCAGUGGUAACAUGCAUCUUAAUCUACAAGACAGACAUGCACGAUUCGUAUUUGGUUGUAAUAUUUCUUAUCUCAGAGAAUUAAAAAGGAAGGUAGAAUUUCUUAAUAUAUAUUUAUUUUUUAUAGUACUAUUCAUAAAUUAUGUAAAAAAAAAAUACACUAAUUUCGUACGUUCUUAAUUUCGUACAUCUUCCGAAAAAAGACAAUUCUUGAAUGAUAUACACAUUCUAUCAUAUUUCAAGCUAUUGUUAAACAGAUAUUACAUUUUAAUUUUGUUGCUACAAUUUUUUCACCUUUAUUUGCUCACUUUUUUUAUUUUUAUUUUUUUCAAUAAUAUCAGCACCGUGCGUAGCACUGGUGUUCCCACUAGUUUAUGUAGUAUUUUGACUGACUAGAUUUGCAUGACUUGAAAAUUUAUCUUAAAACUUGUGCUGAUCUUAAGAAGAUAGAAGAUCCGCCGUAGGCUACGGGGGUAAGAUUAAAAAAAGAGUCCACACCAUGUUAAACUAUGGGUGCUACUGUAUAGGAGAAAAGUAGAAUGAUAAUUCUUUUAUUUUUCUAAUCCUUUGGCUGACAUUGAAUUAAGUGUUUCCUUACUGAGCUUCACAAGUCAAGAAGAGUUUAUUCUAGAAAGAAUUAGUUCUUUACAACCGAAAAAAUUUACAAAUUUCAAAUAAAUUCUAAUUUUCGAAGUUCCAAAUGUGAGAUUGAAAACUACUUUGUUAAAACCUUGUACUUUUGGCUCACUAUCCGCGGGCCAUGAGAUAUCAAAUCCGAUGGUGAAAUUCAGUUAUAUCUUCCUUGAGCUUAGGGCGUACGCCGAGGGGUCAAACUGUCCCAGUCGAUUGUGAUCUAUGGAGGAAGUAAACGGUUGCAUUGACGAUCAUUCCAAAUAACCUGCAACCUUUUAAAUAGAUUAAAAGUAGUAAUUAAUCAUAAAUAAUUAGUAAAAUGGAUGCAAUUUUAUGAGAAAAAUAUUCAAGUGUGCCAUAAUUUUGUAACGUAAUUUAAGCUUUACUUUUAAAUUUCCUGUGUUAUGGCAAAGUCACAGCCAUCAAUUCAAGAGACAGUUCUUUAAUUUGUCACACUCAUCCCCUGCCGCUCAUUCAAUUAUGAUAAUCUAAGAUGUUUGCCAAUUGCCUUUCACGAAAGCAUUUUUCAUACCAAUAAAGGCAUUUUCUUGCUAGAAAGCAAAGUAACAAGUGAACAUCCAAUAGUAGGCGGAUUUGACUUUUGAGCUCAAUUUUCUUGUUUAUUGGUAAAAUUUUCGAUUUUCUCUAAUAAAAAUUUGCCUACAAAUAAGUCAAUUUUCUAUUGCUUCUGUACAAAAUUAAGUGACAAAAAGUUUUAAACGUUAAAAAAUAUAAAAUGAUUCUCCAUAAUUAAUGAAUGGCAAGCCAAAAAAGUUCAUACCUCAAUAGGGAUAAUUGCAGAAACCUCCCCUGACUUUUAUAGUAAUAACAUUGACCUCCCCUAUCAAUUUUGAAAUAGCACUGACCUCCCCCAUCAAAAGUUGGAGGCAAUUUAAUUGCAAAAUUGGGUCAAUUUACCAAAGUACCCCUAACAUGAUUUAAUUUUACCAAAUGAAUGUGAUGAGUACUUUCAUCAAACCCAACAAAACAUUUGUUAAUAAAAAUUACACUAAAUUAACUAUUUCUGCAUAGUUUAACUAAUUAACUAAUUAACUAAAUAACUAAUAAUCUAAUUAAUUAAUAACUAAUUAUCUAAUUAACUAUUAACUAAUUAUCUAAUUGUUAAUAGUUAUUAACUAAUCAAACUAUUUCUGCAUAAUUAAACUAAUUAACUAUUAACUAAUUAUCCAAUUAACUAUUAACUAAUUAACUAAUUAUCUAAUUAAUUAAUUAACUAAUUAACUAAUUUUUGUUUAUCUAAUUAACUAAUCUCUAUUUAUCUAAUUAACCAAUUAACUAAUUAACUAAAGCUAUUGUCUAUCCGAAACUAAUAAACUAUUUGCAUGUUAAACUAAUUAACUAAUUAGCUGCUUAACUAAUUAACUACCUAAUUAUCUAAUUAAUUAAUUAACUAAUUAACUAAUUUUUGUUUAUCUAAUUAACUAAAGUUGUUGUCUAUCCGAAACUAACAAACUAUUUGCAUGUUAGACUAAUUAACUAAUUAAUUGCUUAACUAAUUAACUAAAGAUAUUGUCUAUCCUAAACUAACAAACUAUUUGCAUGUUAAACUAAUUAACUGCUUAACUAAUUAACUGACUAAUUAAUUAAUUAACUAAUUAACUAAUUUUUGUUUAUCUAAUUAACUUAUUAUCUAAUUAUCUAAUUAACUAAUUAACUAAAGUUGUUGUCUAUCCGAAACUAACAAACUAUUUGCAUGUUAAACUAAUUAACUGCUUAACUAAUUAACUAAAGCUGUUGUCUGUUCGAAACUAACAAACUAUUUGCAUGUUAAACUAAUUAACUAAUUAACUACUUAACUAAUUAACUAACUAAUUAUCUAAUUAAUUAAUUAACUAAUUUCUGUUUAUCUAAUUAACUAAUUAACUAAAGCUGUUGUCUAUCCGAAACUAACAAACUAUUUGCAUGUUAAACUAAUUAACUAAUUAGCUACUUAACUAAUUAACUAACUAAUUAUCUAAUUAAUUAAUUAACUAAUUAACUAAUUUCUAUUUAUAUAAUUAACUAAUUAACUAAAGCUAUUGUUUGUCCGAAACUAACAAACUAUUUGCAUGUUAAACUAAUUAACUAAUUAACUGCUUAACUAAUUAACUAAUUAAUUAACUAACUAAUUAACAAACUAUUUGCAUGUUAAACUAUAUGCAGUACGCAUUACCUAUUUAAAGUAUCGGCUCUUUAUAGGUAUUUUACUUUCAAACAUUUAAUUUAUGAUAAAAAUAUCAAUGUUUGUAAGUAAAAUUCAAAAAGUGUUACAAAAAAUAUCAAUAUUCUUAAUUUCUAACAUUUAAUUUAUGGCCCUAUGCCCCUCCCUUUUUGUAAGAAUAUUAUUGUAACACUUUUUUAAUUUUACUUACAAACAUUGAUGUUUUUAUCAUAAAUUAAAUGUUUGAAAGUAAAAUACUCAUAAAGAGCCAAUACUUUAAAUAGGUAAUGCGUACUGCAUAUAGUUUAACAUGCAAAUAGUUUGUUAAUUAGUUAGUUAAUUAAUUAGUUAAUUAGUUAAGCAGUUAAUUAGUUAAUUAGUUUAACAUGCAAAUAGUUUGUUAGUUUCGGACAAACAAUAGCUUUAGUUAAUUAGUUAAUUAGAUAAAUAGAAAUUAGUUAAUUAGUUAAUUAGUUAAUAAUUAAUUAGUUAAUUAGUUAAUAGUUAAUUAGUUUAACUAUUAACUAAUUAGAUAAGUAGUUAAGCAAUUGUCAAGCAAAUAAUAAUUGUCAAGCAAAAAGAGGGCAAAAUUGAAAGAAAUUUCUUAUCUCACUUCUACAAAAGCUGUCAGGGAGGUUUCUGCAACAAAUUGUUACUGUUCAGGGGAAGUGAAUGCAAUUUCUAAAUCUAGAGGGGAGGUCAGUGCAAAUGUCAGAAAUCUCAGGGGAGGUUUCUGCAAUUAUCCCUACCUCAAUAAGUCAUCUCAGUGGUGCUUUCACUUUUCCAGUUUACACGAGUGAAGGACCUCAAUUACAAUUUACAAGACACCAGUUAGUGCUCAAACUUUUUUGCUUUUUCCAAAUGGCAAGCCACAUACUUUUAUUUAAAAAAAAAACGGCAUUGAGAUUAAGAAGAAGGAGCGUAUGAUUUACUGCACCCGGACGCUCCUGUAGGUCCUACAGCCGACUCCUUUUUGGCCGACCAUGAUAUCAGACUUUUGGAAAAGCACUGCACACGUUAGACCGACCACUUUGGCUAGUCGGUCUAGUCGGUCUAUGAUCAACAAUGUACCACAGAAUACAAACUUUGUCCUCUGCAUAUUCUUUUUUUACUUUUCUUUUUGCUUUCUUUUUUUCUUUUUAUAUGGGUAUAAUAGACGUGGUUCGUGUUUUCUGAAAAUAAAAAAGAAAAAAAAAUUUUCUUCCUUUCUUUUUUAUUUAUUUAGAAAAUUUUUCCGAGUUUAUCUCAUUUAGAGAUGUUAUAAAAUACUAUUUUUUUUAAAAGUUGAAGUUAUAUGAAGGGAAUGUUUAAAUGCCGGAAUCCGAGAAUAAAUGUGAAUGUAUAUAUAUUUACAUGAUAGUCUUACUAUAAAUCGAAUUUUGAUUAUGUUUAGUAAAUUGAUGUAAUCUUUCCAUAUGUGGCUUAGGGUCUGUUUGGUUGGAAGUAAAAUGUUUUCCUUGGGAAAAUAUUUUUCGUGGAAGUAAUUUUCCAUGAAAAUCAUUUCCCUUUCAUCAUUUUCAGGUGUUUGGUUAGCUUAUUGAAAAUAUUUUCUUACUUCAUUUUUCUGGUGUUUGUUUAACUUUUGAAAUAUUUUCACUUUUAUCUCUAUCUUUACUUUCUACACAUUAUAACUACAUACUUCUUCCCAUACAAAAUAAGAAAAUUUAUCUCAUUAUUUAACUUUAAAAAAUCUUGGAGAAAUGUAUAUAUAUAUAAAAAAUAUCUCCUUAAGCAAUAAAUAAAUUGCUGGCCAUUUAGUGUCAAAUAUCAAUCACAUGCAAUGCUUAUUGUAACAUAUAUCUUGCACUCUUACUGCUGAAAGUUUCUCUAGAAAAGAAUGUCCCUAUUAUACAUAAUUAAUUACUAGCAUAGGAUGAGUAGGAUGAGGUUUUUUUUUUUUUUGAAUAUGCUAGGGGGAGGGUUGAGUUGGGUGGUACGAGGGAGGGAGUGUAAGGAAGAGGUCUUGUGUUCGAGUCCUCCUGUUUACACUAAAAAAAAAAAAAGAACAUACUACAAGAUGUUUUCAAUAAGUUUGGAACAUACUAAAAAAAAAGAACAUAGUAUAAGAUGUUUUCAAUAAGUUUGGAACAUACUACAGGCGGGAUGCAUGCAUUUCGGAAAACAACUUCAGUAAGUUUGAAAGGGAAGUUGUUUUCCAUAAGAUGAGUGAAAAUAUUUUACAUAAGAAAAUGUUUUCAGUAACUUUUGUGCAACCAAACACGGGAAAUUAGGAAAAUAUUUUCCUGGAAAACAUUUUCACCCGAAACAAACAGACCCUUAGUGGGGCUGGAUGUUUCACCUGAAUUAAUAAUUCUUGAUUUGAUAAUAACAUUUCACAGCGUUACGUACUAAGUAGUACUUUUAACCCCCAUAGAUAACCUUUUCGCUUUUCUCUUAAUCAAGUGAUUAGCAAUUUGGCAAUAAUCCAUAGAAAGAUUAAAGAUAACAUGAAUCAUUAGUCAUUUCAGUUAAGUCAUUCAUGUUACAUGAACUUCUAAGGUAUAUUCUUGUUGCUCUUUGGUUUCGGUUUAGAAGAAACACAAUCAUACCCUGGAAAUUGAAGCCAAAAAACAAUGAAACAGUAGUAUUUAACCACUUACUAGGUGCAAGCUUUCAUCAAAUGUUUCAGCCAUCAUUACCUUGUAAAGAAUACACACAAUUUUACCCCUAAUUAUUAACUCCUUACUGGGAUAAGAUUGUAACUCACAAAUUAAUGGAGUUGGUUUAGUGUCAAGCCCUCAACUUUAUUUCCAAACUACCAUCCAAUACCUUUCUUCAUAUGUUCAUAUACAUUGGAAUCUUUUUAUAUAUGAGUUUUUUUUAGUGGGCGUCAAUUUCACGUAAUCUAUCAUGUAUAUAUAUAUAUAUAUAUAUAUUAACAAUUAUUACUCUUUCUUAUAUAUAUAUAUAUAUAUAUAUUUUUUUUAAUUAAUCUUACAUUUCUAAAAAUUUAGUACGUGAAAUAUAUUUUAACGAGUGUCCAAUAGACAUUCUUAGAUAGAUCCGCACGCAGGGUAAAGGUACUACUUUUGAAUGCAAUUGCUUCUGUGGGGCUGGGUAAUAAUAUCUAAUUUAAUGAGUGCUUAAGCAAUGAAGAUUGAGACAGUGCCAAAUGUACAGUUUUCUCGUCAUCUAGGACAACAAUUUAAUCCUGAAAAUGCUCAUUAAGAAAGGACCCCAACAUUUUCUUAUAGUCCAGGUCUCCAUCAUAAUCUUAUCUCAAACUUGUUCAAAUUUCAUAGGCCAAGCCAGAGAAAACAACUUGGAAAUACACCUAAAGAAAAGCCACCCACAGUAAACCAGCAGACUUGGAAUCUCUAGUUGUUGGGAUUUCAAGAUGUCUCUAUUCAUGUUCUGCUGACAACAGAAAACCAAAAGGGAACCCAUUUUCUUUUCUUCCGGAGACAGAAAUCUCCAUCUCAAGGGGAAGAAAAAAAUUCCCUUGAAAUCUAUCAAAACUCAUGUUUCUGCUUUGAGAUUUCCUCUAAAGAUGGUGCAAAGAAAGGUGAGCAACAAGCUUGGUAUCCAUGCUGAUCAGGAUAAAUCCAACAAGCUGUUGGUGAACCUCAAACCAUCAACUCUGCAGCAUCAGGAUGCCAGAAACAAAGGAGCUGAUUUGAAGAAGAAAAUGAAGAAAUCAAGACCAAUCAGGCGUUCUGAUCUUGAACGCCUUGGUUCGCCAAAUAUGAGAAGGCAAGUACCUCAGCCUGGAAAGCCACCACCACCAAAACCACCACCUCCAGUAUUUCCAAACACCUCUGAAUCCCCACAGAAGAAGUCCCCGGUCAAAACAUCAGAAACAACACCAAACUAUAUGAAGGCAACUACCAGUUCUGAUGCAAGGAAAGAACGUUCUCAGGUGAGUUCCAGGAACCUUCAAACUCUCUUUGGUAGUCAAAGCUCAGGCAGGAAGGAUUCAAAUAGCUCAAAAAUGAGCUCAGGUUCUGUUCACAAGGCAGCAAGAGUUUUAGGUAGGACAUCCAGUUCGAAACUAGUUAGGACACUAACAAAAACAACUAGUUUUAAACCAGCAAGAGCUUCAGCCAAAAAAUGCUCCCCUCUUGUCCUAAGUGAAAAUCUAAAUGUUCAGAGAGCAACCUGUUCUUCAACUUUGAAGGACUCAAAAUUUCCAGCUUACCUUGCACUUAGUUCCGGAGCAACAGAAGCAGAAGGAACCUCUGUCAUGAAAGUCUGCCCCUUUACUUACUGUUCUUUGAAUGGUCAUCAUCAUCCUCCUUUACCACCAUUAAAAAGCUUCUUGUCUGCAAGAAGGCGCCUGCUGAAGACUCAAAGAAGUUUCAAACUGGGAUGUCUCUCCCCACGACGAUCAAAGCCGGUUAGCAGCAGUACGGAAGAAAUUCAGGUUGAGCAGAACCAUGAGAAAUCUUCAUCUCAAGAACCAUGGGACAGUUCAAUGAGUAGCCCAGUCAUAGAAGAAAAGCAAACUGAUUUCUUCGUUCAGAUUUACGGUAAAGGAAGGGAAACUAAAGUUGAUAUCACUGAUUCUUCUCUCAACCAUAUCAGGCCUGCAGUUGAGGGAAGACCAAGUGGUGGUGAAACACCAACACAAGUUGACAACAGACAAGUUCUUGCAAUACCAUCAGAUGAACCCCCUUUCUCUGAGAUGGAUUCUCAUGAUGAUAGCAGCAAAAUCAUUGAUGCUGCUUCAUCAGUCAUUGAAGUGGCUGAUUAUUGUGAGGCAGAGAGUUACUCAACUAUGGAUCUUGAUUAUGAACCUGACAGCUCACUGCAAAGCAUCCAAGAUUCUGAUUUAGGAGGAGAUUCACCUGAGUUUGGAAGCUGUAUAAUUCCUGAAGUAUCCAUUUUCAAAUCAGCUAUUACAAAUAGGUGCUUUGGGGAAAUUCAGGCAGGUACGAUCCUGAAACAAUCAUCUGAUGAAGAAUCCAUUGAUAAAGAAAGUGUGAGCUCUAAAGCAAGUUCAUUUUCAGAUUAUUGGGCAGAGGAUUAUGUUGAAGGGCUUGAUGAUGGAAGUCAUGAUGAAUUAGGUCUUCAGUUUAAAGAUGAAUCUUUCGAGCCUAUCAAGACACAGGAUCUCAUUGAUUAUCUCAAGGAUGGAAUUGUGCAGAAUGAUGUUGAAGCCGAACAGGUACAGGGCCCAGAUUCGCAAGAUUUUCAUGAUAUGAUUGAAGAAAGUUGUGAAGAUGGGAUGGAAGAGAAUGAGCAAGGUGAUCCUUUUAAAGCACCUACCAAGAUUGAAAUUUGCAUUUCUCUGCAUAGUUCAGCUGAGGCCACCGGGGACAUGUCAGCAAAGGAUUGCAAGGACAAUAACCUGGAGGACAUUCGAAUUGGUGGAAAAUCAGAUCGAACUUCGGCAAAUAUGGAACUAACAAAAGGAGCUCCAGAUCAAUCAGCUCAUGACAACUCCAUAAGCAGUGGUUGCGAAAAUCUAAAUUGCUUGGAAGAAAAUGAAGCUGGGAACUUCAAAACGAUAGCAUCUGCUGAUUUAGGAGGAGAAAAAGCAAACCCCACACCCAAGAAUGCAUGUGGCGGUACACAAAAUGACUGUAAGGGAAGCCUUUCAUGUCAAGAAUUGGCUGAAACAUGCAAAAGGAGGAGCUGGAGAACUGGAUGCAAAAGAUCUACUGAAGAGUACCAGGAAUUGAAAGAAUUCAAUCCAAAAGCACCAAAUUUUCUGCCACUGGAGCCUGACCCGGAAGCAGAGAAGGUUGAUCUCAAGCAUCAAACAAUCGAUGAAAGGAGAAAUGCAGACGAAUGGAUGCUGGAUUGUGCUAUUCAAAAGGCAGUCAACAAACUUGGUCCAGCGCGCAAGAAGAAGGUUGCAUUGCUUGUUGAAGCUUUUGAAACAGUUAUGCCAGUAUCCAGAUAUGAUACCCAACCGAGUCACAGCUCAUUCCCAUUCAGUCAUGCAAGGCCAAUUCAAGCUUGCAGUUGAUGCCACUCUGGUGACGAUUAAAACUUUUUCUCUUUGAUAACUUAUUCAUCUCUGAAAUUUACUCAUAAAAGAUCCAUUCACAGUUCAAAUUCUGCUAACGUAUGACAAUUUCUCUUAUUCUCGUUGCAGUGAACAGAGAAGAAACAUCUGCAAUUAUACGUACUCGUGGGAGAUGACAAACUGAAGAAGGUUUACACCAAGAAGCUAGUAGUUGAUUGAUCCAGCUUUACCAGAGAAGCAGCAGCUUCAUAUCUUGAAUUGUUGGGUCAGAAUAUUAAUGAUAUAUCACCGUUUCUUGUAAGAUAUUCUGUCAAUCUUCAAGUUGAGACCAUUUGUUUGAAGUUCGUGUGGUACUUUUAUUGUGUUAAACAGCCUUAUCAGUGUUUUUGUUGUUGGUGAAGUUAAUUUCACCAUUUUAUUUAUGUGCAAGAGUAGUUUAUGCGUGUUCCAAAAAUUCAACAACUGAAUCUUAUGGCAAUUCACAAUUUCUACUUCACAUAACAAUUGCUACAUCGCUAGACUACCUUGCCUCUUGUUCCUGUGAAAUAAACAUGAACAGAAAUGAUCAAUUUCUACUUCAGGCCAAUAUAUAACAGAAAUUAUCAACUUUACCCCACGGUCUUAUUUAUUUAUCAUGACUUCUAGUGACCCCAAGAAUACUCUAAAACUCAUCCACUUUGCCUUUUCUAAUUUAUUUAUCAUUUAUAUCUAUUUCAACAAGCAUAAGUACGAUUAAACUCAUCCCGAGAAUGAACUGACCCUUUUCAUUUUGUUUCGAUUUUUUCAGCAACCAAAUAAAUUAUUCAAGAAAAAAUAAACAAACAUGUAAUAAAUUGGCAACGUCUAGUGAAAUGUGAUAAGUUCAAUGCUCGGAUAUGUAAAUGAGUCAGAAGGUUGAAUCUUACUAGUUCUAGGCUACAUAAAAAGUUUAAGUAUUUAAAAAUGAUUCUUUCUAAUAAAAUGAAAAUUUCAAAAAGCUACGAAACAUCAUAUACUCACCAAAAAACAUUUGAUAUAUAAAUAACUAUGCGUGCGUUAGACUAUGACUUGUUUGACAAGCAAGUUUUUGGCAAAGUUUGCCUGUUACACAUUUGUUUUUAAUAAUUUUAACUAUAAUAAUCUCAAAAAACUUCUAAAAAAUUUUAAACUAUACACUUCAAAAUAUCCAAAAAUUUAUACACUUCAAAAAAGUUUUCUACAACUUCUACAGUAAGUUACAGUAAAGUUUUAAAUAAACAUCUAAAAAACUCACUUGUCAAACGGGACUUAUGUGACCAACAAAAAAAAAAAAACACUUAAUUUUACACAUUAAUUAAAUGACACAAUUCUUGAUUAAACAUUAAUACCAUACAAAAUAUUUUGCACACUAAUUUUCAAUUUACCUUGUUUGGCUACUGAGCACUCCAAAACUAAUGGAAAGUACAUUCGAAAUUUUCUUUUCUUUUUUUUUUUUUUUGGCCUUAUGCAUUUAGCUGAAAAGAACGAAGAGAAAUGCUAUAUAAGUUGAACGGCAAAAAUUUUUACAUCUACAAACAUCUUUUUAGUCAAGAAGCAGAACGAAAGGAGUAAAAACAGUAAUAGAAAUAAAAUAAAAAAUAAUAACGUCAGGGAUACCCUCUCAAGGAGGGCAUUUUUGUCAAAGGAAAAAUCCACAUCAUGUAUUUGUAUAUUUUUGUACAGUGGAAUUUUUCAAAGGAGAUAAGUGCCCAUUAAUUUGGUUCAGAAGGGGUAAAGUACAAUUCAGGCAAAAGCUUGAGGAGUAAAGUGUAAUUAACCCUAAAAAUAUGUUUUUCAUUUAUCUCCAAAAACAAAAUUUACUAUACAACAAUACUAACCAUAAAAGCUCCGGUUACAAAAGUGGUAUUGUCAAAGUUCACAGACUUUCAAGGUUGCCAAGAAGAACACGAUUCAACUAUUGAGAUCAAGCAGAGUCAAUCAAGCUAUGUAUGUUGC
rnacentral:lncRNA from 1 species